CUCCCUCCCUCCAUCAAACCUGACUGAAGCCUAAAAGUCUCCUUUUCUUUCAAAAAAAAUGGAGGGUCUUAUCCCUUUUGUGUACAGGGCUAUAAUGCAAUUCAAUAACGGGAAAGAAGCCGGACCUUUAGGGUCAUGGUUCAGUGAGUCACCUUCAGCCUCCUACAUGCGACUUCCUGGCGAUUCAGGUCGGUUUCAGAAGUCCGAUUUACGAAUUCUUGGAUCCGACCACGGCUUCUCUAACUCUUCAACAUCAUCUAAUACGCAUUCUUCAACCACUCAAAUUAUUGUUUCUACCGGAGCUCAAGCUCCUCUUAAUUGCCGUUUGACUUCUCGUCGAGUUGUCUCACAAUCAUGAUCAAGACCCUUGGAAAAACACUGUACGAGUGUGUGACAUGCUUGAAGAAAGCUGAAGGCAUGGAGCUAGCUUGUCAAGGAUGAUGGGUGUGCAGGUAACUAUGUCUAGAGACUUUGUGUGUGUGUAGCAAUCUUAUUUGGUGCCUGUGGUUUCUCAGUUUGGAAUAUGGUAAUAACAAGCGUGUGGAAAACCGAAGGAGCCGCACAGCUUUGUGUUAUUGGUGUGGACGUGAAGGUAAAAAGGAUGUCGGCAUGUGUAAAUCCAAAGGGGCACACAUGCUUUGUAUUAAUCAAUUACCAGCAGCAGCUUAGAUUUGUGUAAAAAUGGAGUUGUAAUAAUGUUUGAAAAAGGUCUAUGUUUCUGUACUGUAAUGGUUCAGUAAUGUCAAUCAGUUCAUGUGAACAUAAUAAAGUUCAAUCCACUUCCUUGCCUUUGGUCAUAGGUGGGAUGUGUUAACAAUUAGCCUUGGCGAUUAUUUGAUGUUUUGUUUCUUAAUUUAGUUUUUUUUUAUUAUUAUUUUUUUGCUUAAUGGCCUAAAUUUCUGCAUUCCAGAGUUUAAUGGGAUGCAGCGAAGAAAAAUAGUAUUUAUGGUUUUUUUUUUUUUUUUUGAUAAGCAAAAUGAAGCCUAUAGAAGGCAAUGUCAAUAACUCAGGGUUCUAUUACGAUAUAACCAGCAGAGCCCAAGGGGUAUAAAACAGAUAACCCAAAAACAAGGAGACCUCCAAGGAAAUGAGCCAUCAUCCUCCGAAAAGACGACAUUGAGCUGACUCAUGUCAUAAGGGAAGUGCGAGAAUGAAGGAGAUAAUGCGAAAACCAGGCCGAACAGAGAUGAAUCAGCUGCUCCACACCUUCACUAACACCAUCUCCAAUUUGCAUACUCUUAAGAGCCUUUGAAGAAGCAUCUGCAAGUUUGUCUGAGAAGCCCUCUUGCACACAUAUUCUGAUUACACAAACACAUGAUUGUCCACUAUUACAGAAACCUUGCCUUUUAACAGUUCCAGCAGCGCCAGCCAUCAAUUUCUUUUUCCUCUGAAGAUCCUUUCUUGAAGAAACUGGAAAAAUUAAUCAGAAAGAGGAGCUUGAUCUGCCAUUACAAGAAAUCUUAUCAUUAAAGCACACUGAAAUAGAAACUGGAGGCAAGAAAACUGUCUGACCAGGAGCUUCCCAAACUCCAGGAAUCACUUGGAACAUCUGAUUCUGCUACGAAGAUUUCGCGAACAAGACAAUGGUCUGACAAUCCCGAAUCGCCUCUGCUGAGAUUUUGAUGCUUCAAUAUCUCUCCAAAACAAAUUAUUCUAGCACACCAAGCAGGGGCAUGCUUCUUUUUACCCUUCAUCUUCUGGUCGUGAACAAACAUUUUGCAAGGCAGAUCGCGCAAAGGAUCACGAGAAUAUGCAUGCCAAAAAUUCUGUAACGAUUGCAUUUCUGGUCCUUCCCUCCAGAAGCCAAAAGACUACAUAGUGGGGACACCAGACCCACACCGCAAAUUACACGGGUAUAUGGAUAGAGAUGACAUAGAAUGACCCAGCCUAUCACAUUUUGAUUAGGAGACUAAGCCCAUUUGGUCUGUCUCAUUGUUAUUUUAUUUAUUUAAAAUUAUUUAUAUUAAACACUUUGAUUUGAUGGGCUGAGCCCAAUAGUGAGAUGUUUUAGGGUUUUACUAUUUAUAUGUUUCUCUGUCAUUUUGUGAGACAGUUUUGAUGAUUAAUGAAAAUAUUGCAGACUUUACAUAUCUUCAAUCCCCUUUCUUCUCUUUUUUAGCUUUUUUCUUUCUCUAAAAGCUUCUUUUUUUUCUUGCUUUAAUUCUUAUUAUUUAUUGUCCCGCAUCAAAUUUGAUAUCAGAGUUAGGGUUUAUAUUGUUCUUACAAUUAAACGAUCCACAUAUUUAUGCUAAACCCUAGAUCUGGUUUGAUCUUUAAAAAAAACACAUUGUUCAUUGUUCAUUGUUCAUCAUCAACAACAGCAAUCAACAACGACGCCUCAACUAAUCACAGCAGCGCCUUAACCAAUCACAGCAGCAGACCCACCACCGAGAAGACCGCCACAUUAGUCCAUAGAUCCACGUCGAUUUACUACCUCCGACACAGACCAGCAGCAACCACCAGAUCGACACCGCAAGAGACAUUAGUAGAUUUUCGGCUUCAGCAACCAAACCAGAGUCACAAAACCACCAGCCACAGCCACCCACAAACCCAUCACAGCCAGCACCGACUGGUGAUUCACAGCAGCAAAGGCAGGGCAACAUAUCUUUAUCUGCAACCAUCCACAGUGCCAUUGCCUUCAGCAGCGACAACAGAUCCACACAUCAACAGGCCCUCGUCCAGCAGCGACACAACAACCCCUUUCAUCGCACCGCCGAUCCCAAACAGAAUCACAGAGCCACGUUUCUUGCGCCAUCGCUGUCAGUAGCGACAAAAGAUUACAGGAGGUAGGGAAGAAGAAAACAGAAGCUCUCAAGGCAAAAUAAUUAACUUCACCAUGUCACCUGCCACAUCAGCACCACGCCACCUGCCAUAUCAGCACUCUGAAACAGCAUUUGCGUCAUCGCCACAUCAGCACCACGCCACCUGCCAUAUCAGCACUCUGAAACAGCAUCUGCGUCAUCGCCACAUCAGCACCACGCCACCUGCCAUAUCAGCACUCUGAAACAGCAUCUGCGUCAUCGCCACAUCAACAUGUCCCACCACGUCAUCUGCCACGUAAUCUUUCGCUGCCACAUCAUCCGGUCAGAAAUUCUUUUACCAAUUGAAUAUCAUCAUUCCUAGUAUGCUUUUACACUUGUUAACCAAGAUUUAGCAUUAAUAUUAUUCUUUGUGCUUGCCCAUAAAUAAAUUACAUAGUCCAUCUCGCAAAUUGAAUUACCUUAAUUUUAGGCUUGUUUAUUGGCAUUGAGUAUCCGAUCAUCUUAAUUAAUUGUGGAGCUUGGUUAAAUUCGUGGGAAAAUUGAAACAUUGUGUUUGGAUUACUUAUGUGCAUUUAGAGGACUUACGUUGCUUGCUUGCAAAUUUUCCUGUUUAAUCUGUCAUUACUUAGUCUCAAAGAUAAAAAUAAAUAAAUAAAUAAAAUAAAAUAAUUUUUUUAAAAAAUAUUAGCUAUAAUUAUAUUUUGCGUUUUUACUUGUAAGUGUUGUUUGUGAUCUUAGUCUUAGGAUUAGUUUUUGCAUGCAUUUAUGUAGUGAUCGUCUAGUACACAAUCUAGAAGUCAUAGCUACCAUGGACUCAAACUCUAGUAAUGCUCUUAGAGAUAUUUAAGAGGAAUUAUAACUUAUACGAACGGAAAUGAACAACAUGUCCAAUCAAAUGAACAACCUUUUUGAGAGGGUGGAGUCCAUAGAAACUUUACAAGUAAGACAGUUUAGUGAGAGUGAACAUUCUAAUGACAACCAUAGGAAUCCUCAAAGACCAGUUCCUUAUAGGAACCACAAACAUAACCAACACCAGGGUCACAAUAACUUUGAUGACCCUAACGAUAGUGAGCGUUCCAAUGAUUAUCGUCAAAGACCAGUUCAUCCUAGGAACCGUUAAUACAACCACAAUCAAGGUCAUCACGACUAUGAUGACCCUGGAGAAUGAGUCAUGAGGCAUAUCAAAGUAGAAGCCCCAACUUUUGAGGGUCAACUUGACCCGUGGAUCUUUGAUAGAUGGAUCCGUGACAUGGAUCAAUUCUUUGACAGGUAUAAUUUCUCUAAGAAUAGGAGAGUAAGAUUUGCAAAGAUGAAACUUAGUGGGAACGCUCAACUCUAUUGGGAAAGUGUAGAAAAGUCUUUUGAUAUGAGAGGUCAACCUCCUAUUACUAAUUGGGUUGAAAUGAAGACUAAGUUAGAAGAAAAGUAUUUGUCUCAUUCUUAUAGAGGAAAUCUUUUGGACCAGUGGAAUAACUAGAGGCAAGGAGGCAAGUCUGCUAAUGAAUAUGUGGCAUAAUUUGAUGAGUAUAGGAUAAGGUGUGCAGUUAGGGAGGAUGAAGUGAUGACCCUAAGUAGAUUUUGAAAAGGCUUAAACGGUGACCUUAGAAGAAAGGUUAUGCUUAGAGGUGUGUCCACCCUUGAUAAAGCUUAUACCCUAAUACAAAAUUAUAACUUGGUCACAAAAAGCCAGUGGAUGAGACGUCAGGACACUCGUAGUACCCCUUCUAGAUCCCAACCUGGUAGUAAUAACUUCAUAUUAGGUGUCCCACCUCGUAAACCCAAUCCUUUAAUUUUGCAGAUACCUAAAGAAGACAAGGAUAAGGGUAUUUUUAUGAAGCACCUAAGAUAACCUUAAGAAUUAAGUGGUUUAAGUGUCAGGGUUUUGUUCAUAUUUUCUCUAGUUGCCCUAAUAAGACUCUGUUUAUCAAGGGGCAAGAGGAUAUGGGUAAAGAAGAUAAUUGUGAUGAUAAGGUAUAUGAACCCAAUCCCAAUGAUUUUCAGGAUCUAAAUGAUGAGGAUGAGUCCAACUUGCUAGUAUGUGUUAGGUUUAUAUCCACUCAAAUCAAGACAACCAGGUUAAGUGUAGUUAGAUGAGCUUUAACACAGCCUAAGGGAACUGAGGAUUGGAGAAGGACUGUUAUUUUUUACACUUGUAUUAAAUAUGGAGAUAAAGGGUGUAAGAUCAUCAUAGAUAGUGGUAGUUGUAUCAAUACAGUUUCCUUGGGUAGUGUAUCCCGUUUAGGUUUAAAGUCUGUUCCACACCCUAAACCCUAUAGUGUAUCCUGAGUUAAUGAUACAUCUAUAGCGGUUAAAGAGAGAUGUUUUUUUUCCAUAAAGAUCUCGGACUAUCAUGAUGAAAUUUGAUGUGAUGUCAUUCAUAUGGAUAUAGGGCACGUCAUUUUGGGUAGGUCUUGGUUAUAUGAUUUGGACGUUACAAUCUUUGAGCGAUCAAAUUCUUGUUCAUUCACUUUUCAAGGUAAAAAAAUCCAACUUAUUGGAUUACCUUUAAGGUCUAAUGAUAAUAGUCAGAAGAAGAAUAAAGUGAAAGAAGGAGGGCUUAACAUAAUAAGUCUUAGAGAGUUUGAUAAGGAGAUUUGUGAGGAGUCUGUUGUGUUUGUUAUAGUGGCUAAGGAGAUUGUAGAAGACUUCUUAGAAGAGCCACCUGAAAAGGUAAGGGAAGUGUUGAAAGAAUUUCUAGAUGUUUUCCCUUUUAAACUACCUGAUGUUUUACCCCUUAUGCGUUAUGAUGUUUAACACACCAUAGAUUUUGUCCCUAGUGCCACAUUCCCAAACUUGCCUCCUGAUUGGAGACCUUAUAUCGAUGCAUGGUUUUGAAGAUUUGAGGUUAGUGUUAACUUCAAAUUUUAUUUAAUUUUUAUGUUAUAUUGAAAUUAUUGAUUUAUUUUUAAUAAAUUAUUUAUACACAUAACAAAUUCGAGUGGGAUAACACUCAUGACAAUGUUGUGAGAAGGGUGUGGGAGAAUCACGUGGCAACUAGGUAACAUGGAAAACGAUACGAUAUUUUUGUAAAAAAAAUUAUAUUUUAAAAUCUAAUUUGUCAUUAACUCAUAUAAAACUCGUUGAUGGAAGUAGGUUGUGUGACUUUUGGUAUGAAGUGUAGAAAAAAGCCAAAAAAAUGUUCUAGAGAUAACGGUUUACAAGGCUGGAAUGACGUGGCGGUUUGGAGGGAUGGAGGCAGGAUUUCAAUCCGGAUUUGUGGAUGGAGGCAAGAUCGUCUGGUGGACCAAAAACAAAUCGGGUGUAUGGACUCUCCAACACUACGGUCGAGAACUUGCGGGCGGCCUGUAGUGUCUCAACCGUUGGGAGCUCUCAAUAAGUAUCGAGCACCCUCCAGUCUGAGGAGAUCGAUCGUGGCCUUGAACAACAUAUGACUCAUCUCACCUAGCAAUAUUAGUAACUCUUAAUAGAUUAUGAACAACUCCGCCAGAUGGUUAUGGACAUGAGAUCACAGAUGGGUGGUACGUGUGCACCUCUUUUUUGGCCGUAUGGUCCCGGGAAUGACCAGCCUCCUCCUCCUCCUCUAGCACCACCAUUGUUCUAGUUUAAUUUUUAUUUGUACAAAUAAAAUUGUAAUGAAUAUUUGGAUUUUGUAUUAUUCAAUUUUAUUUACAUAUUUUAGUUUUAUACAAUUUUAUUUGUUAAAUUAUUUUCUUUUUUUUAUUAUUCUAUACGAAUUAAUAUUAAUUAUUUUGUAUAAUUUUAUUUUUUUAAAUAUUUUUUAAUUAUCAUAGACAGAAUUACAGAUGAAAUAAAUAUGUCGGUAUUUUCCAAAGAGUUGUAAAAUGUUUACUUCAUAUGCCACAACCACCGACGUAAUUAUUUCGUUGGUGAUUUACCGAUGACAAUAUAGAUAAAAUCAUUCCGUCGGUAUAUUUCAGAGAGUUUAGAAAAAUUACUGCUUAUACCACUAUCACCGAUGGAAAUAUACCAAUAGAAUGAUUCUGUCGGCAUAUUUCCAACGAGAAAUUUUUUCUUUUGGCGUGCAUAUUCCGUCUAUAAAACCAUUGGUUUUUAAUUUUUUUUAACUGAUAGAAUUAGCAAUAGAUUAUGAAAUUACCGAUGGAUGUAUUCUAUUAGGGAAGUAGUCGGUAAAAUUUACACCGACGUAAUGGUAAUCUUAUGCUAAUGGAAAAAUUUUGUUGGUAAAAAAGUUAAAUGUUUUUUUUUUUUAAUGCCUGGAAAGCUCGGAUUUUACUUUUUUUUCUUUUGCUUAUAAUCGGAAAGGAAUAUGGUAGGAAGUGAUUGGUGAUGGUAUUUAUGUGCCCAGUAUGUUGAUGGGAAUGCUUCGGCCUCUACAGCAAAUAGGAAACUUCUUGACAAGUCAAAGUGCUUUUAAACGUCAUUUAAAAGCUAUUUUCAACUGCAUCGUUUUGAUGUUUAAAAACUUUUUAAAAUUACUUUUUUGAUAGCAUGUAUUAGUAAACAAUUUUUGCAUUCACAGCCACACCUGUUCAAACAAUUUAUUUUUAAUAAAAAAUAAUUUAACUGAACUGAAUGUGUUUUUUUUUAAAUUGAAUUAAAUAAAAAAAUUAAAUUGAUUGAUUCAAUUUGGUUGAGUGUUUUAUAUUUUAAAAAACUAAAUCUUUUAGUUAGAAUAUAAUGAUUUAUUUUAUUUGAUUCCUUAAAAUUUUAUUUUUUCUUGUUAAUUUUUUUAUAUUUUUAUAUUAUUUUAAUGAAUUGAUUUUAAAAAUAAUUUUUAAAAAAUAAAAAAAAUAUUAUUUAAAUAUAUUUAUAAGUAAAAAAAACUUUAAACUACAACGAUAUCAAAAUCUCAAAUAGACUAACAAUCAACCACCGUUUUGGUGAUUUAUGCUAAACUCAAUCAACAAUAUGUAUUUAUUUAUCCACUGACAAGCGGACUUAACACUAGAAAGUCGAGCAUGUAAUGUCUGAAAGUCAGGCAUCUGAUGUUUCACCAUCCCAUAGUUCGUCGAGUGUCUUGUAUGAACCAUAAGUCUCGUGCACAAACACAGUGCCCUUAACCAGCCUCUCCUGCAUGAUAGAAUCACAAGUUCAAUCAUCUAAAUCACAGCGAAAACACUACUUUUACAUAGCUUAUAAUCCCAUAAAAUCUACUGCCACCCCAUGAUCCAAAAAGCUUAGUAAUUAUCUUGAUCUAAGCAUGCGCUAGUGCAAAGGAGAACUUAACACCUGCUGCCCGAAGCACUUUCUAUAAAUUCAUGGCAGAUUCUAUUGAUCUAACCUUGAGGAUCAUAUGCUAAAUGGAGCAAGUGCACAGAAAAGUUUACAGGCAUAAAACGUUGAGGAAGAAAUAACCACUGACUUGCCUGUUCAAUUCCAGAUAACUUGGCAAACAAAUCUUCAGGAAUAGACCAGUCAAAAAUGUCAAGGUUUUCCUUGAUCCUUGCCUCAUUUGUGCUCUUAGGAAGCACACUGUGGCCCAUCUGUAGUCCCCACCUAAGAGCUACUUGCGCAGGAGAUUUGCCUAAUUUCUCAGCAAUCGUAUUAAGAAUUGAAUUCUUGAGAACCUGGGUCUUGAUCGUUCCUGCAUCUGGGGAACCUAGCGGUGAAUACCCCUACAGAAAAAAAGAAAACAAAUUCUAUCAUAAUUGUUAUUUGGAAACUCGAAUAAACUAUAACGAUCUACUUCUAUUCACACUCACAGAUAAAUGGACACCCCUGGAUUGACAAAAUUCAUGAAGCUUUGGCUGCUGCCACACGGGGUGACAUUCGACUUGGUUAACAGCUGGAGGUACACGAGCCGCGGCUAGCAAAUCCCCAAGCUUCUUUGAUGAGAAAUUACUAACUCCAAUAGCACGAGCCUUGCCAGAAUCGUAAAGUGCCUCCAUGGCUCUCCACGUUGCUGGUAUGUUGGUUUGAGUAAGGUUUUCAGGCUUAUAGCCCUCUGAACCCUUCUUCAUGCUGACGGGCCAAUGAAUCUUCAAACAUUUCACCACAUUUUAGUGACAAAAUUUAAUUUCACAGAAGAUAAACUCUGGUAUGGAUAUUGAUUGUAAGAACAUACCAGAUACAGAUCUACAUAGUCAAGCUGCAAGUCCUGCAAAGUCUUCCCUAAUGACUCCGGUACAUCUUCCGGUGCAUGAUCAUUACACCUAUAGAUCAUCAUACUUUCUUUUACAAUCCAGGCAACUGAAGUGCUCAACGAUAUUAUAUAUGUUUUCAGGGAAUUUGAAGAAAUAAAACAAAUCCCCUAACACAUACCAGAGUUUUGAAGUGAUCCACACUUCGCCACGCUUUACUACCCCAUUGUCAAAUAAUUUCUUCAAUGCACAACCAACCUGCAGAAAACCAGCAAUCAAUUCUUGAAAUCAACAACUGAUCUUUCUUUCUAUCUACCAAAAAUGAAACGCUCCUUUUGAUUCUCAGAUCGGAACUUGUUGUAAGAAAACUAUGCGUCAGAACCUCUUUCUCGUUGCAGUAAAGUCGAGCGCAGUCAAUGUGUCUAUAUCCAGCCUGCACAAGACAAAGUCCAGUAUCUCUAUUAAUUAUAUUUUUUGGAUUAAUAAUCCCACGUCAAAUUUAGAACCCGAAAAUCCCAAAUGCAUUCUAGCAAAAUUAAUCGGAGGCAUCUAAAAAAAUUCCUCAAAAGAACUUCGGGCAUGAAUAAAAUACCUUAAUGGCAGCAGUGACAGCAUCAGCGACAGCACCAGGGUCAGCGCGCCAUGUGCCCAAACCAACUGAAGGGAUUUUAGCUCCAGUGUUGAGCUCAAAAAAUGGAAUUGCUUUGGCCAUUUCUAACAAAAACCAACACACUGUCCUAAACUUGGAUUCGCUCCUGUUUUUAUACAUGAAAUUAAUAUUCGUUGAACAUGGACACAUAUAAAUAAAAUAAUAGGAAUUAAAAACCUCCUACGGAAUCUCGAGUCCCGAUUGUUGAAUUUUAUGAUAUACGUAAUGAUUUUUGCUUUGGUUCAUGGAAGAGACGAAGGGUCAGGAAGGCUGUUUAACCGCUGACAUAUGUUCUCACGUCAUGAGUGUGCUGCCCGGGAGAUGUGGCAUUUGAAAUAAGGUUCGGUUAAAUUUAGAUCAAUUAGGUAUCAAUGACAUCAAUUGAUGCCAUAAACUACAUCCAAAGGGUAUAAAUUAAAUCAUUUAGGGUUUAUGUUUAAUUUUGGGAGAAUUGGGGAGAAUUGAUGAUUUUUUCCAAAUUGAUAAUUCUUUUGUGAGAAUUGUUCAUCAAAUUUGCGAGAAUUGAAAUUUUUAUCCAAUUUUGUUAUUUUUCUAUAUUAUAGUUUUUGUAUGUGAAUUUUGAGAAUGGAUAAAUUUUAAUGAGAAUUUAUAGGUUUUGUUGUUUAUAGAAUAUAUCUUCUAAUAUAUGACAUUGUUAUGUCAUUAUGAUGCUACCGAUGAUGUUAACAAUAGUAUUACUUUUAAUUGGAGAAAGUAAUAUCAUUCUUAGUGCUAGAUUUGAUAUUUUAUUAGUCGAAGUCGAAAUGAAACAAGUAAUAUGUGGAGGUAUUUAGUGAAAUUACAAAGAAAUGAAAGUUUGUAACAUAUAUCUUCAAUAUUUCAGUAUAAAUUUCUUUAUAAUAAAUCUAAAAAUAGUAUAAUUAUUUUACUCGAUUGAUGAAACGAUCAACUGAUUUAUCUAUUAGUUCAAUCAAAAGGUUUUUCAUCAAUAAAUAUAUAUCUCUCUCUCUCUCGUAUGGUUGACAAGUCACACUUACAUCAAUUAUAUUAAUGUCAUUACUAUUCAUCCAAGGAAAUAACUAAUUCAAUGCCGACAUCAUAUCCAUUUUAGCUAAUAAACAAAAGCAAAUAAGGUAGAUGUUGAGCAUCUAUUUACUCCUCCAAUCGUUCUAAAAGACUCUAAAUUAGUUUAUUACUUAGCCUCCUCAUCACACAUAUCUCUAAACAUAGACAAAAUAUAUAUUCACAUACACAUGCUUUCACCUACUCAUCACCUAGCUAGUCCUUUUUAUUGGUUUCAUCAUACUAUUUUUCUAAUAUUUUAACCUCUUCCAAACAUCUUAUUCCCAUUUGUAUAGAUUUACAAGCAUUUCUUCAUCAAUUCCCCAUGGUUGUCGAGUCUUCCCAGCAUUUCACAAGUAUUGCUUUCAUUUUUUACAUGAUAUUCUUAUAACAUAAUUUAUUUUAAAUACCUCAAAUGAUGGGUAUUGAAUCAAAAGCCAAUAUUUAUGUUAUUUAAUAUCUAUUACAUUUAUACACUCAAGAUUUUCUUAUUAAUUAUUAAAUCAAUCUCAUUUGUACAUCCUCCCCCCCUUAUUCAUGCAUUGUUUUUGAUAUAAUUGGAGUAGAUAAUUUUCAAGCCAAUUCUUCAUCAACAUCAAUUCCAUUUUCAAGCCAAUCUUAAAUGAUCAAUCAUAUCACACACCAUUAGGUGCCAUGAAAACCCCCAUAUUACCACUUUAAUCACCUAGCUCAGCCAUGGCUGCCUCGACAACCCAUACUCAUGUAUCUUGAAUCGUCAUAAUAAUUCAGGUGGUGGUUGUCACAACAGCCUAUAUUCACACUCUUUUGGGCAUUAAAACAGCUUUUAGACACUUAAAUGUAGGACUAUUACAGUAGCCCUCUUGAGCCCCUUUUUAUACAACCCAAAACAAUCAUAGAGUUCAUAUAUUUCUUCACAGAACUACUGUUACAUGCACAUUCUACCGCCAUUAUGAAUCACAACAAAUUUUUAUGGUAUGUAUACACUUGCACACAAACCAAUUUGGUAGCCAUUCAAUCAUGUUCGCAUUCCAAAGUCUCCCAACUUUCAUACAUAAAAAGGAUGAAUUUAACAUAAUUUAUUAGUACUCAAACUUCUCAUACAUUUCAAGUAAUAUAUAUUCAUAAAACUAUUAUUAUUAUUAUUAUUAUUAUUAUUUCUUUAAAAUUGAUUUACACAAAACAUCAUCGUUUAGAACUCAAACUGAAUCAUUUUGCUUUAGUUUUUACAUAUCAUUUACUUUAUUUCUAAUAUUCUUUCCAAUUAUCAUUCACCAUUUAGUUAAGGAUGACUUAACCCAAUUAACCCACUUGAUAUCUUUAUAAAUAUUCUCAUCAUUCUAUCAUUAGCACUGACAUUUCUUUACCAUUACUUUUCUCAUCACUUGUAUUUAUAAGUCUACUAAAUUGGUUUGUGUAUAAGUGUAUACAUACCAUAAAAAUUAUAGUAUAAGUUUCUUUAUAAUAAAUCUGAAAACAAUAUUUAGGUAUAAGUUUCUUUAUAAUAAAUUUGAAAGCAAUAUAAUUUGUUUUAAACCAUUCGAUGAAACGAUUGGCUGGUUUAUUUUGUAGUUCAAUCAAUUGACUAGAUCAAUCUAAAUAUAUUCAUAUUUCUAACUCAUUAAGAUUUUAUCAAAAUUCUGGCAAAAUCUCCUUCAUAUUUGGGUCAUCCCAAGUGUCGACAUGAAAAUCAUAUUAUAUAUAAUAACACUUCAUAAUCACAAACACCACAAGCUCAUCAACCCACUUUUGACUCAAUCAUCGUGGAUCUCAUCUUCUCAUAUCUAUCAUUCUGUUAUUUAUUCUCAUCAAUUCAUCGCACUAAGAUAUUUAUUAAUUUCACAUCCAUCACAAUAAUUAAAAAAUCAAAACAUUUACAAUAAAUUCUACAUCAACAAACACUUGAUUGUGUGUGUGUGUCCUCCUCAAAUUACAAUGACAAAUAUAAUAAUUAUGUAAGACCUUAGUAUUAUUAGGUUUUAAACAACAAAUAUAUUAUAUCACCUUAAUCAAUCAAUGAUAAUUGUUAGUUUAAUAUAAGGAUAUGUGAAUUACAUUUCAAAAUAGAGUAUCCAAAUUACAAUCUACAAGUUUGAUGUUACACCUAAUAAUCCACAAUUUCAUAAUCUACAUGAAAGCUAUUCUGCAGAUUACCCCUGGUGAGCCUAUGAGUUAUAUGUAACAAAGUCAAUGAAUUUUACUAAGUCACAAGUUAACAUCUCAAUUAACACAUAAAAGGAAAUAAUCAACUUUUUAUCUAAACAAUGUUUUAAUUCAUUCUUUAUAAUCAUCUAAUUUUGUCUUUAUAUAAUUUUAUUAAACCCUAAAUAAAUCUCUUAAUAUUUAUAACUCACAUAAUUGUUCCAACAUUUUCAUAUCGAAGCCAACAAUUCAACACUCUCUUUUGAGUAAUUAUUAUUUUAGCAUAGCUAUCUUAAUUCCCAAUCGGUCCAGUAAUCUCAUUCGAAAAAUAAUAAUAUGGUAUUCCUCGUGAAUACCAAUUUCUCUAACAAACCCAUGUUGAUUACCAAUUAUUCUGGCAUUUCAAUUCAAAAGCCAAUAAUCUGUAUCAAUCAAUACGACCAACCCAUCUUGGUUGCCGAUCAAUCCGGCAUUCCUUAAUAAAUACUAAUCAACCUAGCCAACCCAUCUUGGUUGCCAAUCAAUCUGCCAUUUCUAUUCAGAAGCCAAUAAUAUGAUAUUUCUUAAUAAAUAUCAAUCAAUCUAGCAAAUCCAUCUUGACUGCCAAUCAACCUAACAUUCCUCUUCGAAAGCUCAUAAUCUGGUAUUGGUUAAUGAAUACCAAUCAAUCUGGUCAACCCAUCUUGGCUGCCAAUCAAUCUUGCAUUUCUAUUUGAAAGCCAAUAAUAUGGUAUUCCUUAACGAAAACAAUCAAUCCGACCAACCUAACUUGGUUGCCAAUCAAUCCAGCAUUCCUAUUCGGAAGCCAAUGAUCUGGUAUUCCUUAAUGAAUACCAAUCAAUCCUACCAACCCAACUUGAUUGCCAAUCAAUCCAACAUUCAUAUUCGGAAGUCAAUGAUCUGGUAUUUCUUAAUGAAUAUCAAUCAAUUCGGUUAACCUAUAUUUGUUGCAAAUCAAUUUGGCAUUCCCAUUCAGAAGCUAAUAAUCUAGUAUUCCUUAAUGAAUAUCAAUCAAUCCGGCUAGCCCAUCUUGGUUGCCAAUCAAUUUAACAUUUGCAUUUGAAAUCCAAUAAUUUGGUAUUCCUAGACACAUGUCAUUAAUUAGCAAAGGUUAGCAAAGGUUACAGUGGUUGAGUUAUAUAUCCAAUUCUUUACCUGAUCAAAUAAAAUAUAAAUUAAAAAGUAGAAAGGAAAUGUUAACAUUCACUUCAAACUAAAACAAAAUUGGUUUUUGAAUGUGACUUUCACUGUUCAUGUAAAGGCAAUUGUCUAUUCACCUCAUUAUAAUAUAAUAACCAAAAUUUUCGUUUCUAGUUCCUUGAAAAUUUCUUUUUAAUUGAACUAUGACUAUCUUUCUUUUUUAUAUUAAAAGUUAAUUUCUUAUGUUAAAAAUAAACUUGAAUCCUAUUAAUAUUGUAGCACAUAGACUUAUGGAGUAGUUAAUACUAGAUUCUUGGCCCCUGUUAAGCUGCGAUUUAAAUAAUUUUUUCUAACAUUAAAAAAGUUGUAAAAAUGUUAGAAAGUAAAAAAAUUCAUUGUAUUAUAAAUAAAAUAUAUUUUUAAAAUAUUGAGAUAGUAACAUAUUGGACAACAUAUUUUUUUUUUUAAAAAAAAUUGAGAUAGCGAUACAUUGGCUUAACCUGGGUCAACCAUGAUUGUUCGAUGAAACUUGCAAUUCAGGGCAUAAGACUAUGAUAAUUUCAUAGAACCCAAAUCAAAACAAAAUAGGGAGUUCAAUUUUAAUCAACCAAAUAUUUAAUGCCAAGAAAAAAAACAUUAAUAAAAAGGAUAAAAAAAGCUAUAUUUAAGCAAACAAAAAUAUCAUGAAAUGACUAUAUCAUGCUUAAAUUUAAGCAAUUUAUUUAAUUUAACUAAAAAAUAAAAUUUCUUUUUAGAAAAGCUAAAUUUAAUAAAGAAUGACAAAUAAAAAAGCUGAGAUAACCCAUAUUAUUUUUAAAAUUAGUGAAAAAUCAUAUAAAAAAACAAAUAAAACAAAUAACAUAGAUCAAUCUCUAAUUAACUCAAAAAUUAAAGGAUAAAACUAAAAAAAUAUGAGCUAAAAAAACAAAUUAAAUUAACCUUGGCAAAUUUCAUAAACCGUGGUGAUUCAGAAAACACCAAGGAGGGGUUUUUUUAUCACCAUUAGUGUCGCCGUAUGCACCAUUUGAACACAUUAAGGCGACUUACUUCCUAACGUGUCAAUGUACAUACCAACUACCUUUUUAUAUAUAUAUUUAUUAAAAUAUUAUAUUGCUCUCAAGUCAAAUAAUUAUUACAAAAAAAACCAAGAUGAGAGUACAAAUAAGCCACUAGAGGCAAGCUAAAAAAUUCUUGAUUUUAAGGGCAAUCCAAUCAUUUAACAACGUGAUAAAAAGUGAAAUUUCAUUAAAAAAAAAAUAGAUACAAAUUAAUUAAGUUGUUUUAAAAAAAUAUAAUAAUAAUUUUACUAUUUCCAUCCUAGCAUGCUAGGUUUAGGUUUUUGUUACAAAAAUAAAACUGAAAGUGACAAACUAAUACACAUUGAAUGGUAUAGAGAAAUAUAAGCUUUAAGCAAUCAAAAGGCCUAGAAGUGAAGUGAAUCAUAGCAUAGCAGAAAUCCCAAACAAAGGAGAGAUACCGAGACGCCAAACUAACCCUGCAAAACCCUCUGUAUAAAAGGGAGUUAGCCAAAACCCUAACAAACUUAUAAACUUAAACCCCAACAUUUCUCACUCAGCCAGAGCCACUUCUCUCUUCAAUCAAAAUCUCUAUAAAUGGCCUUCAACUCUGUACUUCGCCGAGCCUCGAAAUCCCUCUUGCCUCUCGCUAUCCGCGCCGUGGGAACUCCCAGAACCUUCCACAGAGCUAUCCCCGCCGUUCUCUCCGUUGAAAACCUCCGAGACUUUCUUCCAUCUUCGCAUUUCUCAACAGCUGCCACCGCGCUGAAACCAACCGCCGAUGAGAAUCUCAUUCGAGUCCUCGGAACUGAGAUCGAAUGCGUCGAGGAACCCCACGAUGUCAGUUUCUUUCCCCAUUUUUUUGAACUUUAUUCACCAAUUUAUUUUAAUUUUUUAGUUGCCUAUUUUAUAUUUGAUUCUUAUUUGAUGGUAUGAUUUUUUGUUAGUUAUGCUGAACAUAAAUUAUAGUCUUUUUUUUUUUUUUUUUUUUAAUGUGGCUUAGAAUUUUGUCUGCUUAGUACUUUUAUAAUUUUUAACUUGAGAGGGAUUUUGCGUAUUUUUUUUAUAAGUCUUGAAUUUUCAAGCUUUGUGCUGGUGGAGAAUAAAUUGUGAAAUCUUGAUGAGAAAUAACAAUUUUUUUUAAUUAGAGCUUGUGUUUUUAGUGACACAUGAACAUCUUUUAAUGAUUGCGUAAACAGGUGGAGAAUAUCUCGAAUGAGUUUCCCUUCAAAAUUAAAGAUAAUCCUGGAGAGAGGACCAUUUUGCUAAGUCGAAAGUUCCAAGAUGAAACCAUCAAAAUUGAAGUCGACAUGCCUAGUAUUUCAGAUGAUGAUGAUAAUGAUGAUGAUGAUGAUGCGAAGGACGCAGAUGUCUCUAGCAUUCCGUUGGUUGUGAGUAUUACCAAGGGAAGCGGUCAGUAUAUGGAGUUCUGUAUCACUGCUUUCCAUGAUGAGAUUUCAAUUGAUAGCUUGUCAAUAAAAAACCUGGAAAAUUCUGAUGAACUUGCAUAUGAAGGACCUGACUUUAAGUAAGUUUAUUAUGUUCAGAAUGUGGGACGUUUGGUGGAUUUCAAUCCUUUAGUGGAUUCUCUUUUUGUUAAUUUCUGACUUUGUUUUCCUUUGGCAGUGAUUUGGAUGAGAAUCUGCAGAAUGCUUUCCUGAAGUAUCUUGAGAUUAGAGGCAUCAAACCUAGCGUAACAAAUGUUUUGUUUGAUUACAUGGCUAACAAAGAUACCAAAGAAUACUUGUUAUGGCUGAAGAACGUCAAGAAUUUUGUGGAGAAGUAACUCUGUGGAGAAGUAACUCUUUGAACAAGACACGACCAUUUCUGGAUUCGCCCGUGUAUGCCGCUAAUGGUGAUAUCUGCGUGCUGUUACUGUAGUGAUUUAGUUUUUCCUUUUGAAAUGUUCUUACUUCUGGACCUGGAUCAUGUUGAUGAAGGAACUAGUAUUGAAACUCAUGUCAGGAAUAUGAGAAUGGCAGAUAGGGUGCAAGUUCUAUUUCAUAAGCUGCUGUCAAGUAAUAGAUGUGAGACUUAAAUGUGAUCAUGAUUCGGGUAUCUGAUUAUUCUUUCAGUCGGGUCUGUUUAUCUCCCAAUUUGUUUUUAAUAAGUAUGCAAAUAGGUGCUAGAGUAAGUCUUGAUACACGAACAAUCUUAUUGCUUAACAGAUUUGGUUCUGCAAAAACUUUGGACCCAAUUUACAUGUUUUAUGCCUGGUUUAUCGUUCACUUACUGGAAAUUUUCAAUCCGAUUUCGCUAGCGAGAUCCAUUUAUCCAAUGCGUGAGGUAUUUGGGGAAAAGAAUAUCUAGUAAGAUUAGCAUUACUCUUUAUUUGGGGAAAAGUUAUGCAUGAAGACUCGGAAUCUGCCGGCAACUCUGACUCCGAUAAUCAAAUACAUGCACUUCUAUUUUGCUUUGCGUUUGUUUUCUAGAAGUGAUUUCCUACUCACAAGGAGCCCAGUUUUGAAACGGUGGUGGGUAGGACUGGAGGAAUUCCUGAUACCAGAUCUUCUCCAUUGAUAAGCUGUCCCAAAAUUACGUUUGGUGGUUUUAAGGCAGUAAGGAAAGUAUUUUCUGAAUCUAAUUAACUCUCUAAUGCUAUAAUUCAGAGCUUCCAACUACACGGGUAUUCUUUUUCAAAAAAGGAAAAUGUCGAAACAUUUUCAUAUUUGUCAUCAUGUGGAGAUCCAGUUUUCUUGCCGUGAAGAUCUAGGAAUGAGAUCAUCCAUCCAUCCAUUCACUCAAUGCAUCAAGAAAUUUACUUUUCUCCCUGUGUUUUGGGCAUAACUGACCACUAAAGACCUGGUCUCUCCCCCCUGGUAAAUCGUAUUCAGUUAAUUGCCUCCAAAAACGUCCACUCCAAAAGGAACAAAUCCAUCUUUGAUACUUUGUUUCAAAGUAUUUUUAGAGUUAUAUGCGUGUAGCAGAAGAAAAUGGAAAAGGAAAAGAUACAUGGACCUCUAUAUUUUGACCUGAAUACAGGUGCCAAAAUCCCAUCUGUUGGACUAGGGACAUGGAAAGCCCCACCUGAUGUCGUUGCUGAAGCUGUCAAGUUUUCUGUCAAGGUUCUCCUUUUCUUACAAUCAACUCCAUACCUUGUUUCCAAACUAUUCAAUAUUAGUACUGAAUAUGUACUAAUUUUGGUUCCAACUCUGUGCAGGCCGGCUACAGGCAUAUUGACUGUGCUAAAGUCUACGGUAACGAAAAGGAGGUACCAUCUCUUACUUUCAUGUAAUACGAGGCCAAUGAAUUAAUUACCUUCUGUAACACCAGUUUGAAGACACCUGCAAUAUGUUUGUUGUCAUUCCUGUUUUUGGGCCUUUGUAAGAAAAUGGAGAUAAUCCCUGCCUUGUGUUAAUGUAAUGCAGAUAGGGAAAGCGUUGAAGGAACUGUUUUGCACUGGGGUAGUGGGACGCAGUGAGAUGUUCAUCACAUCUAAGCUCUGGUACUUUAUUAUAUUUUUCUGCUGCUUACUGUUCUUGAUUUGGUCUUUAACUGAAAUUGCUUUCUUAUUAUUACUGAUUACAAUCAAAUUUUGGAGUUAAGAGUAUGCAUGAUCUUUAGUUUAGGACUCUGAUAUUGGCCUAAAGCCGUCUUUACUUAAACAAUCAUGUCAUGAUUACUAUUAUGAAUUUUUCAGGUGCAGUGACCAAGCUCCUGAAGAUGUAUCAAGGGCACUGAGCAAGAGUCUAGAAGAUCUGCAACUUGAUUAUAUUGAUUUAUAUCUUGUAAGCAUGUAUUAUGCAUUCAUUGGUAUUCGCAAAUAGUGACGACAUGAUGCUUCAAUGACAACUAAGACUAUUUUCUAGAAUUCUGAAAUCAGAAUUGGCACAACGAAGAAUGUACCAACUGACAGUAAAUUCUAAAAUAUGGCAUUGCUUUACAGAUUCAUUGGCCAUUUCGGACAAAGCCAGGCUCAAGUGGAUGGGACCCUGAAGUCAUGGCACCUUUAUGCCUUCGAGAGACGUGGGCUGCAAUGGAGGGCUUGUAUGCAUCAGGUCAGGCACGAGCGAUUGGUGUCAGCAACUUCUCGACUAAAAAGUUACAAGACCUCGUUACGUAUGCUAAAGUGCCACCUGCAGUUAAUCAGGUUGAGUGCCACAUAGUCUGGCAGCAGCCUGCUCUUCACCAUUUUUGCAAAUCAACUGGAAUUCAUCUCUCGGUAAUACACUAGACAGUCUUUUAUCACUGGAUUUUAUCCUUAGAAUCAUCUUGUUUGGUAAGAUUCAAUAUUCGAAUUGUGUGAAUAAAAUCUCUCUUGCAGGCGUAUUCCCCUCUGGGUUCUCCAGGAUCUUGGAUUAAAGGAGAAAUCUUAAAGGAACCGCUGCUGGUUGAAAUUGCUAAAAAACUUAACAAAUCGCCUGCACAAGUAGCUCUUCGCUGGGGAAUUCAGAGUGGUCACAGUGUUCUUCCAAAGAGUGUAAAUGAAUCAAGGAGCAAGGAAAACUUGAGCUUAUUUGAUUGGCAUAUCCCUCCAGAUCUCUUCUCAAAAUUCACAGAUAUCCACCAGGUAAGAUUAUAUACUUGUAAGCCGCUAUGAGGAAUAUUUAUAAAUUUAUCUACUAACUAUCUGGUGGGUGCGUCAAGCAGCAAAGGCUCCUCCGAGGGGAUUUCGCCGUCCACGAAACUAAUAGUCCGUACAAAAGUCUUGAAGAAUUGUGGGAUGAUGAAAUAUGAGAUGACAUAUCCUCUGGUGAUCUGCAUUUGCAUGUUAUUGAUCUCUCUUCAGGAAAACAAUCCCACAUGCUGAAUCCUACCUCUCGAAUUUUGAGAGGCUACGCGGUGCAGUAAUAAAUGAAGCUGAAUAUGGUUUACUUGAUCCCUAAUUUGUUUUUCCCACUGUAUCAAGACAAAGUUCAUAUUUGGCUGUACUAGUUGCUUAGCUGCUUAUCAAUCUCAUCACCUUACAAAUGAAGUGUUUCGAUCUAGAAAUUUGUGUGGCACAUAGAGCCGCGUCAUUAUCCAUCGAGUCAAAUCAAAGACUACACAGAAGACUGGUUGUAGGGAAAUUAGAAUGAAAAUAAUUCCAUGCCUUGAUACUGGAUUUUCUUUAUAUUCUGUUGUUCAAAAAUCAGAUCCUUGACACAUUGCACUGAUGGAUGGCCGUAAAGAUGUCGCUUGCUAGAACACCAUUUGCUUAAGAAAUGCAGUUUUUCGUUUUUUCAGCCUUGCCAUGCCAACAAUUAGUUUCUGAUAGCUCGUCAAAAAAAGAAAAAGAAAAAAAGAGAACUAGUUUUUGAUACAAUGCUGCAGCUGUCUUCUCCGACAACACAUUCACUUCGCUAUCGCAAUCUUUUUACAUGGAGCAGAUCAGCUUGUAUUAUUAGACAAAUAGUUUUGAACUAUACAUUUCACACAGCUGGAGGGGUGAAAAGUUUGCCUUUCGAAGUGUGAGGCGGCAUUUGCUUUUCUAGUUUGUUCCCAAGUGAAAAAAUCACAUGGCAGUGCCAUGGGAAGAUCAUAAAAAAGAAAAAAAGAGGCAUCUGCUCCGAUAAAAACUUGAGCAUUGUUAAUGGCGUUGACUAUAUAUAAUAUGCAUAUGCCACUCCAUCCAAAUAGUUUUGAAACAACUUGACAACAAGAUCAUUCAAAAGUCUGGUGCUACCACCAACUGAUCGUUAACAAUGCUAGGCUUGCUACGGACUACGAGCAUGAAUCCAAUUCCAUGAUGACCUGUUCGACCAUCCAAAAUUGGAAAAAAUGCAGCCAUGUUGAUUUCAAUUUAUGGGAACAUCACUCACCUCUGUUUCAAGUCCAAAUUGGGCUCUAUUGCAAUUAAAUUAUGAAAUACAACAGCACAGACAUCAACUAUAUGAUGGCAUACAUCACCGUAGAUUUUCUUUUGAAAUUACGUACCAGUUCUUCAGGGCUAAUGAUUUGGCACCCAUCAUGCUAUAGGAAAAUCCUGAGCCAAUAAACCUUAUCUAUAACGCCCAACUACUUCAUGAUCUUCUGCAAUGAUCUGACCAGUCCGAACACUAGACAAAAGGUAGGAAGACAAUUGGAGAACUCAUUUCGUCAAAAAGUUCACCGCAUACAUUGAGAAAGCAAAUACCACAGAAUACAAUGAAAAGAGAUGCCUAGAUACGAUAUCACAAUUUUCAUAAAUAAAAAAUCAGCCACCAAUGUUGCCAGUUUUCAUUGCCGACAUUAUAUAUUGUUUCCGUGGCAGCUAGAAAUCUCCGCCGCAGCUUCCAGCUUCUUUCGUUGCUCUGCAUGGGAUAUAAGAAACAGUUCAUUCAGGUAGGCUUCUAGAUCAGCAACUGCAACUUUUUUUCGCAAGGAACAAACUUUCAGGGGUCAAGUUCUUUUCAAAAGGACAAAUGAUGGAGAACCAUUAUUUUAUAUCCAUCACAUUUCAAGUUCCUAUGGUUGAUAGUUAUUAAACCCGGCUCAGGAAUUGACCCGGCCGAGAGGCUGGGUCUCGGGUUUUAUGGGUCAACCUGGGUUAACCUGGGUCAACCCAGAUCAACCCGGAAAUUCACUCAUUUUUCUUUCUUUUUGAAAGCUGUUGACAACAGCUUCAACACGAAAGUAAUAUUCCCGUAGAUUUAUAAUUUACCUUUCCUAGCCAAAUGGCUCCAAAAGGCAAAAGCUACGGGGAAUGCCCCACAUUACAAUUUAAUAUAUUUCCUGUCAAUUAAAAUUUUUGAAGGAAAGACACACAAAACCUAAACUUUUCCCUGUCUCUACCAAAUAAAACAACAAGCCGCUGCUCCCCUGCUUUUAGAUUUUCUCUCCCAAAACCAGCCAAAACUUCCCUUUUUGCUUGGCCAAAACAACUGCCAUGCCCGACUAACUAUCAAAAAUUGAAAGAUAAAAGACAUUCUCUUCCUUCUUUCUUCACUCUCGUUCUAGAAGGUAUUCUAUCAAGCAACAGGAGACUAGAGAGCCACGACUUCCUUCAUCCCUCUCUCAGUCACCCCCCUGGUUUUUUGGCCAAAACUAGAGAGCCCCUCCUUCUUCUUCCCCACCCGCCUCCGUCUCUUGGCCAAACCAGAACCGCCGCCCACCGACACAGGAGACCAGCUCGACCAGCCUCCAAUGACAGCGUCCCUCACUCUCCUUUCCUCUCUGUUGCUGCUAACAACAACUCAUUGUAGAGAAGAUGAUGAAAUAAGAAGGGAGGCUGAAGGACAAAAACCACAUUUGAAAAGGGGAAAAAAAUCGGGUCUCGUCCGGGUUCGUCCGGGUCAUGGGUUGACCCGCCGGGUCGACCGGGUUUUGCCAGGUUGUUGCACCAGUCGGUCUUUUAACAAACCCGAACCGGUUCAGGUCCCGGGUCGACCAACCGGGCCGGUCCGGGUUUAAUAACUAUGAUCAAAACCCAAAUCCAAUCCAAACUAGAAAAACAAAAUUACAAAACCCUAAUUUACUUUACAACAAAACUCUGCCACCAAUCUUGCUGGUCUUCUGUUUCUAUUGUUUCCCUUAGCUGCUGGCUAUCAGUUUCAUCACUGUUCAUUGGCAAUUAGUGGUCCUGCUUCGUUCAAAUUGGCUUCUAGAUCAGUAACUAACACUUUUCUCAAUAAAAAUACUCUCUAGAGUCAGGUUUUUUUUAUUAACGGUAAUAGAUGUAUAAGUCAGCUUACACGUAUAUUUCAACUAAUUUUUCAAGAAUCUAAAAUUAAUAACAAUAUAAAUCUUUAAGAAUCUUAAAAUUUAUGAUACUUGAACUAGUAAAAGUCAAAUACCUUAUUUUUAAGAAGGCAAGAAUGAUGGAAAGCCCAAGUCAAAAGAAAUUUAGGCUUUGACUAAGAUGAGUCCAUCACUAGGCUGGAAGCAAAGGCAGUUAUCAGAAGGGUCAAUGAGUAAUAAGGAAAGCUAAUGACAUCAGUGGAAAUAUUAGGGGUGAUUAUUUUUAGUUCGGUUCGGUUUUUAUCUAAAAAAAUAACCAAACUGAAAUUUUAUAAAAUAUAAAAAAUUAAACUGAAACGGAUUUCAACCAACUUAUUUUAGUUCAGUUCAGUUCGGUUAUUUUAUAUUAAAAACAAAAAAAAACUAUAUUGUUUUUUGGUUUUUUUGGACUUUCUAAUGAGCUUGUAAUUGAUAUUAAUAUUAUCUAAUUUUAUUACAAGAUUCUUAAUUUUUUUAGCACUGAAUAUUCAUUUAUAUUAAAUUAUUAGUGUCAAUCUUGUGUUCAAUAUGUUGCAAGCCUUGUUUUUCUGUUUUAUUUGAGGGAGCAAGAUUCCUUCUGCAUCAGAGUUUAAAUAACACACACGCCAUGUUAAAAUUUAAAUUAUAAAGCACCGCCUUCAAAAGAGUUUGAAAAAAACAACAAAUAACCUUGUUAUAAAACACUUCGUGCCAAAAAAAUAAUUUUUCAUCGUGCAUAUCAUCCCAAUCAAAAAACAAAUAUUUUGAUAUCAAAACCUGGAACUCAAUAUCUAGAAUUAUAACAUGAUAAAUUAAAUUAGAAGAUAUAAAAAUAAAAUGUAGUAUUUUUACCAUAAAACUGACUUUUGAACUGAUUAUCAUUUGUUGCAUGAUGUAACUUUUCACCAAAUUCUAUAAAAUAAAAAAUUAAACAUGUUAGAUGAUUGAAAACAUGUUAAUUAAUAAAUCACAAAAUAAAAGGAGUAAGUUUAUAAAAAAAAUUACUCGACUCAAGGUUUUUAUAGGUUUCAAAAUCAUUUAUCAAGGUUCUAAUAUCAGUUGGAAUUGAUUCAUGAAGCAACCAGUUUUGACAACAAAUGAGUGCUUGAACUGUUGCUAGAGAUAAAGAACUUUGAAAUUGAUCGAGUAUAUGACCAUCUGUGGCAAAGGCUGAUUCAAAAGCCAUUGUGGAUAUAUGAAUAGUUAGAACAUGUUGUGCAACCUUUGAAAGUGAUUUAUAUUUCGAAGCAUUACUCUUCCACCAACCUAAAAUAUCUAACUUAUCAUCAUUAGAAUUCUCAUAACCAUCAACCAAAUACCUCUCAACCUCAUUUCUAUUUUCCACACUAUCCUCCUCCUGUAAAUGCCUUUUGAAUCGAGUCAAAGUAUUAACAUCUACCUUCAUAUCAUCAAUAGCAUUAAGCGUAGUUAGAUGUGUCUUGACAUAACCCAAAAGAAUCAAAGAUCGGAAAAGAACUGUGAUCGUUUACACCUCCAUUAAAUAUGGUGAAAAAGGUUGCAAGGUUAUCAUAGAUAGUAAAAGUUGUAUCAAUGCAGUAUCUUCUAGUUGCGUAACCCGUUUAGGUUUAAAAUAUGUUCCUUACACUAAGCUAUAUAAUGUAUCCUGGGUUAACAAUCAAUGAGAGAUGUUCUUUUCUUUUAAAGUUAGUAAAUUGACAUGAUGAAAUUUGAUGUGAUGAGAUUUAUAUGGAUGUAGGACAUGUCCUUUCACUUUCAGAAGGAUUAAUCACUUCUUGUUUGGUAAAUUCAUAUUUAUUUUUUUAUAUUUAAUUCUUUACAAGUUUACUAUUUAAAGUUUUUUACGAGACUUUUUGUCGCAGUCAUUGUAAAGAGAAGGCAACUGUCAUAACUUAAUUUUCGACCCCCUGUUUUUCUAAAUAUUUUCAAAAUACAAUAUAUAUAUAUAUAUGUUCUUGAUAUAUUUAUGUUAUUUUCAGUAUUUUUAAUAUAUUCUCAAAAGAAUUCAAAAUCUAAAUUUUUUUUCUUUAAGGCAUUCAGUUUUUAAUGUGCCAUUUUCAAAACCAUUGUUUGAUUUUCAAAUGGUUUAAAAAUGGUUUAAUGAUAUUAGUAUGUAUAAAAUUGAUUUUUGAUAAAGGCAAUUUUUUGGUCCAGAAAGAGUAAUUGGGUCCCAGUCAUUUUAAGUUGUCUCUUUAAUUCGUUAGGUCCUUAAAAAUCCAUCCAAUUAUAGUAUUUACAAAUGAGUUGAUCUAUCUAUUAUUAUAAGUAGAAGGAAAAGUUUUUUUUAACAUAAAAAAUCUUUUCAUCCGAUUCAAGCACAAGCAAAAAAAUAUAUAAAUGUUGUCAAUAUGUUUUUUAAUAUAAAAAUAUUAAUUACAAAUAAAAAAUUUCAUAUAUAUUUAUUUAAUAAAAUAAAUCUAGAAUUAUAUGCGUUAAUAACUAUAAAAAAAGUAUUAAUACUAACUAAAAACUAGAUUAAUUAGAAAGCAAAGAAAUAGAAAAUAAAAAUAUGUGAUGAGAUAGUCUUUCAAAACUUUUUAAUUUAAUUAUAUGGUAAUUAAUUUGUUUUUGUAAGAAGAGUUGUAAUUUAAAUUUCCUUGAAACAAAAUGAUUUGUUUGUAUAACUCCUUAUUUUUUUUUUGAUUGUUUUCUACCAAGAAAUAUAUAUUUUUUAUUAUAUUUUUUUUAUUUAAUAAAAAUCAAAAGUAUACAGAACAAAUAGAAAAAAAAAAUUGAAUGAUUUGAAAUAAGAAUAAGAAAUGUAGAGGCUGCAGAAGACGGGUCGUCCGCCUUUUAAUAUAUAAAAAAAGAUUCGAGACCUUGCACGCAGACAAAAUCUCUUUUGAUGGGUUGGGCACGUAAACUCAUAUGCACGCCUGGCUUAUAUAGUUUUUUUUUUGUUUUUUUUCCUAUAUUUUACACUAUAAUUUUUUUUUUGUACAAAAUAGAUUGUCUCAUGCAUCUGACUCCUUUUUUUUUUUUUUUUUGUUAUUUAAUGCAUUUUGAACUCUUCAAUUUUUUUAAAAAAUAUCAUUCAAUUCUUUAUAAUUCAAUGAUCUCGUUUUGUAAAGACUUAAAAAAAUUAUAUUUAUUUUUGUUAUUUCAGUCUCACAUCUUUGUUAUAGUUGUUCUUUAUAAAAACAAUCAUAAAAAAAAAGUGUUUUUAUCUAUUUUUUAAUAUUUUUAGAUCGUUUUAAUAUAAAAAAUAAUUUUUUUAUUAAAGUAUUAUUUUAAUACUUUUCUAAGCGAAAAACACUUUGAAAAGCAACCGUUACUAGAUUUCUAAAUACCCUCAAUGGCUGCCAUUAUAUAUGUGUAUAUUACCACAAAUUCACAUUUUGUUUAUUUUUUUUUGGUAUUACAUAAAUGCUUAAUUAUAAUACCCUUUGAAUGAAGAAAUGUACAAUAUGUUUAUAGUAAUAAUUAUUUAUAAUCAAAAAGUGCAUUAAUUGUUCUAAAUUAGGUAUCACCAUCUCUACAAUAUCUAAAGUACAUUUGAAAGAUUUGAAUUGAAUCUCACAACAUAUGAAGAUAACGACUAGUUAUAUACUAAUUUUCUCUCAGCAGGUUCUCAAAAUGGUGGUAACUGAAGAAUUAUAUUCGACAAGUGCCAUGUUCUUAGUAAUUGCAACCUUUAGUAGCAUUCUUAAUAUCCCCCAGUAAUGCUCAUUCCAUUUCCUAUCUUGCUUUUUUUUAAAACCAUAAUUAAUUCAUUUAAUCAAUUAUUAUAUUGGAUUUAAAUAAAAAAAAAUGAUUUGUUGCUUUCGUGAAGCGUAAGCAUGGUUUCAUUGUUGCUUAGGAAAUUGAUGUCAAACAAUGAACAGGGUAUCAAACAAUGAAAAAGGUAUUGGCCCAGAAAAAUAAAGCAACAGUGUUUAAUUUGGACACACACACAGACAAUAGGAGAGCAGUGUUUUUCCCCAGUUGAAUACACAAAUGUCACAAGAUCGCAGACUAGUUGCAUGUAGUUUUAGUUACCGCUCCAACUACUCCUACCACUACUAUCACCAUCUUCACGGCCCUCUUCUAUGGUGCCGUAAUCUUCAUCAACAUCUCUGAUCUUGGUGCCAUUUUCUUCAGUUGGCUUGGGCUGCUCCACUUCUUUGCUGUUAAAGCCUACCCUGCAGAAACAGAUCAACAAGAAAGCUGCUGCUAGAAAUGCAGAUAAACAGGCCAGGAGCGCAAUAGAAGAGGGCUCCAUUGGUGAAACUCGUGCAUCAAUGAAUAUCACUGCUCGCUUCUUAUAGCAAAGGAUAGUCUAAGGUUGACGCCGGCUGGGUAGACCAAGCUUUGUUUAAGACAGACUUAAUCUCAAGUUACUCCGAAUUCCACAUCCAAAGACCAUCAUAUUUCCGGUCAUUAGGAAUAAACUUUGGUGUCUUGACUUUCCCGAGCGACUCAAAACUCUGAAUUGAUGGUAUAACAGGAAAUGCCAUUAAUUUAUUAAUUGGCCCAACCUACACAUAAUCAUUACCAUCUAAUCUAUGCCUCAAGUUUGAAGUUUGAACUAGUCCAUUCUUGCAUAAUACAAGGGUUUCAUUGACCUUUAUAGGAUUGCCAAAGUUCAGUUUGUAUACAAAUACAAACCUAAUUUAUUUUUAUGUUUUAAAAAUACUUAAAAAAAAUUUAUUUAUUUUCUUUACUUUAAAUCAAUAUUUUUUUGAUGUUUUUAGAUCGUUUUGAUGUGUUAACGUUAAAAAUAAAAAAAAAUAUUAUUUUAAUUUAUUUCAAACAAAAAAAUAUUUUAAAAAACAAUUGAUAUCAUAUUUCUAAACACGAUCUAAAUGGAAGGAUACAUGGAUUUAUUUCAAUUUUUUAAGGACAUAUUAGAUAUAACUAAAUGUUUAGUGAUAUAUUGGACACAACCACUGAUCUAUAAGGAUAUGUGAAGCCAUGCAUUUCCUUUAAAACACAUCCUAAAAAUUAAAACUGAUAGAUCAACAUGUUUUAUUUUUAUAUGGAUCUUUAUUUAAAGGAACCAAAGAUAGGGUGAUGACUCAGCAUCCUUGGGCUUAGCUAAGCACUAAGCCCAAGCAUGAUGUGAACCUCGUGAUCAUGCAACCCAUAACAAGAUUGACAAUGAAUCCUGAAAUGCUAAAACAUGUCUGAUAGGAGUGUGACACAAUGAAAACUUAUCUCAAUGCACUAGCACUAUUGGAACAAGAACCCUUACCCUACAAAUACCAAUUUGUGAACGAAAAGUAUAAAAAAGACACCACAAAACCAAUUAUUAUUCGAUAAGUCAAUUUAGUUCGUUAAAGAACCAAAAAUUAUGAAAAUCUCUCUCACACAAGCUGAAUAAAUUCGACAAAAAUAGUAUUAUCAAGUCUUUUUAUUUUGUGCCUAUAAAGAAUAUUAUACUCUUGAGAAUAAAACUCUCACACUAAUAGGUUAAACAUGCACCCAAUUUAAAUAAAGUCCGAACUAAUUAAAAUAAGAUUUAAAAAUAAUAGAAAUCAAUAAAACAAUAGUCUAAAAUUAUUUUUCACCCUUUUUCGCAUAUGAUAGUGAAAAAUACACGAGAUAAAUAAUUAUUGAAGAAUCCUUAGUGAAUAAAAGUCUGAUGCUUUGUAAAAUAAGAAUUAAUUUUUUACAAAUUAAUUCUUCUUGUUUGAUAUGAAAUUCUCGUAAUAUAAGAAAGCCAAAGGCCGCCACAUAAGUUCCCAGUAGCAUUAAAGACUCUUUGUAAUGAAUGAAAUCCUUGUAAAAGGAUUUUUUUCAAAAACAUUUUGAGCUGGUGAGAUCAUGCAAGUUUUUAAAGGAUGUUUAUUUAAGAGAAAGGGUAUUCGCAAAGAGAAUUCUGAGCCAAACUUUGUUUUAUUGAUGAGAACAAAUUACACAUUAUUUCUUCACAUAAUCUUAAUUUACAAGCCUAAUUACAUCUUCUCCAUUCAUGCUAGUUAAGAUUAGUGCCCCUAUCGAGAAUGUUUUUUUUUUUUUUUACCAUGUAAGGGCCUUUAUAGUUUAGUGCUCAUUUUCUAUGAUCUUUAUAAGGAAAAUGUAGAACUUUUCUUAACACCAAAUCAUAUUCUCUAAAUUCUCUCGAUCAAACUUUCUUAUCAAGUGUCUGAGCCAUUCUUUUUGGUACAACUGGUAAUGACAAAUUGCUACUAGCCUUUUUUCACUAAUCAUGUUUAGCUGUUCAUAUCUUAUCUUCAUCCAUUCAACUUCUUCUAAAUCAGACUUCAUCAAUACUCUCAACGAUGAGAUUUCUACUUCUAGGGGCAUAACCGCCUCCAUUUGUAUACUAGCGAAUAGGAUGUAACACCAAUCGAUGUUCUCACAACUAUUUUGUAAGUUUGGAAAGCAUGAGGGAGCUAUCCAUGCCAAUCUUUAUAAAUGAUUACCAUCUUUUGGAUAAUAUUCUUUAUGUUCUUGUUAGCAACUUUUACAACUCUAUUCAUCUUUGGCCUAUACAGUGAUGAAUUCAAAUGCUUGAUCUUCCAUUUAUCACACAAUUCAACGAUUGUUUUUCCAUUGAAAUUCUAAGCAUCAAAUGUGACUAUUCUUUUAGGCAGUCCAUAUCGACAAAUUAGCUCUCUCUCAAUAAACCUUUUAACAACCUUUUAAGUCACAUAUGCAUGCAUACAAAAAAGCUUCGAUCCAUUUAGUAAAGUAAUCAAUUGCUACUAAGAUAAAUCUACGUUCAUUGUUGGCUUUUAGAUUAGGUCCAAUAACAUCUAUCUCCUACAUUACGAAUGGUCAAGAUGACAACAUGUUAAAUAGAGGAACUAGUGGUGCAUUGAUCUUAUCUCUAUGUACAUGACACUUAUGAUACUUCCUCAUAUAAUCUAUGCAAUCCCUCCUUAUAGUCAUCUAAAAAUACCCAACUCUUUGGAUCUGUCUAGUCAUCAUAUGUCUAUUUAUGUGUGUAGAACCUAUUCCUUUAUGUAUUUCAUGUAGUGCUUUCCUUGCUUCUUCUUCAUUCGAACACCUCAGAAAAGUCCCGUCUAACGACCUCUUAUAUAGAACUUCUUCAUCCAGGUAGUAAUCCAUGGCUAUUCUUCGCAAUGUCUUUCAAUUUGACUUGGAUGCCUCAUUGGGAUAUUCUCGAUAUUGGAUAGAUUUCUUUACAUCGUAAUACCAAAGCUUCUGGUCUAUUUCUUCCCCAACUAAAUAGUAGUAAGCACGAGAUUUUUUUUUAUUCUUAUGCAUACUGGUUGCACUUGAUCUCCACAAUCAAUUUAAGCUAUGAAGGCCAAAGUUGCUAGAGUAUCAGCAAAUUGGUUUUUAUCUCUUCCUAAAUGUGUGAAUUCUAUCUCAUCAAAGUUCUCUACUAGUUUGAAAAGGUACUUUUGAUAUGGACUCAACUUUUCAUAUUUGGUUUGUCAUUCUCCUUUUACCUGACAGAUUAUUAGCAUUGAGUCUCCAUAUACAUUUAACUUCUUUAUCUUUAUUUUUGUAACUACUUCUAGGCCAUAAGUGCAUGCUUCAUGCUCAAUUAUAUUGUUAGUGAACCAAAUUGUAGUUUGAUUAAGAUGGGGCAUUAUUUAUCAUUUAGAGAAAUUAUAACAACUCCAGCUUCAUGACCACAUACAUUCACAACUCUAUCAAAGUACAUCAUCCACUAAUCAUUCCCUUUUUUUUUUCAAUUGUUAAGACAUCCUCAUUUGGGAAGUCAAAGCUUAAAGGUUCAUAUUCCUUAAUGGUGUUGUCAGCUAAAUGAUCAAUAAUGACACUUUCUUUUAUAGUUUUCAUAGUCAUGUAGACUAUGUCAUACUCAGACAACAAAACUUGUCAUCAUGUAAUCUGACUUGACAAAUAUGGUUUCUCGAAUAUGUACUUUAGGGAUCUAUUUAGGAGAUGAGCCAUGUGGUGUAGUAUAACAUAUACUAGCGUAAUCUCUUAGCGCUCCAUGCUAACUCGCAACAUAACUUCUUAAUUUUAUUGUAAUGUGCUUCGCAAUCUGUGAACUUCUUACUGAUGUAAUAAAUGGCUUGGUUUUUUCUCCCCAUGUUAUUGUGUUGUCCUAGUACAUCGUUCAUAUUGACUAUUAAGUAUGUAUCAGGGAUUUCCUAGGAAUUGGUGGUAUUGGCAGAGGUGGGUUAACAAGGUAUUACUUAAUCUUCUCAAAAGCCUCUUAACAAUCUUUAUUCCAAAUCCUGAGGUUAUUCUUCCCCACCAACCUAAAGAUUGGUUUGCAUAUGUAGUUUUCAACCAAGAGAUAAAAUGAGCUAUGUAGUUCAACUCCCUAUAAAACCCCAUACUUCUUUCUUAGUCUUAGGUGUUGACAUUUCUUAGAUGGCUUUGACUUUAUUUGGAUCUACUUCGAUUCCUCUAUUACUUACCAUAAAUCCUAAUAACUUCCCAAUUUUAACCCCAAAUAUGAAUUUUAUUGGAUACAACUAUAACUGAUACUUCCAUAAGCUCUCAAAGAGUUUCCUCAAAGCUUGCACGUGAUCUUCUUUCAUCUGGGGUUUAGCAAUCACAUCAUUGACGUAUACUUCAAUCUUUUUAUGCAACAUAUCAUGAAAGAGUGUUACCAUUGCUCGUUGAUAUAUGGCUCCAGUAUCUUUCAAACCAAAUGGCAUUACCUUGUAAGAGAAAGUUCCCUAUGGGUUAAUGAAUGUUGUCUUUUCCUUGUCUUCAUUGACAAUUUUAAUCUGAUUAUAACUUGAGAACCCAUCCAUGAAAGAGUAUAUAGAAUUUUUUGCAGCAUUGUCUACAAGCAUGUCAAUGUGAGGGAGUGAAAAGUCAUCUUCCAGGCUAACUCUAUUUAAGUCUCUAAAAUCCACACAUACUCGGAUUUUAUUACAUUUCUUGGGAACUGUCGCAAUGUUCAAUACUUAUUAAGGGUAUUUGUCUACUUCUAGAAAACCCGUAUCCCAUUACUUCUUCAUAUCUUCUUUCAUUUUAAUUAGGAUGUCUAACCUUAUUCUUGUUAGUUUAUGUUUUACAUGUUUGCACCCAUAUAUCAUAGGUACCCUAUAUACCACAAUACUAGUAUCCAUUCUGGGCAUUUUGACGUGCUUCCAAGCAAACACAUCAGAUAAUUCUUUCAAUAAAGAUACUAAACCAUCCCUUUUCUAGGAAACAAUCUACAUUCCAAUCUUCAAUUCUUUUUUCUCAUGUUUAGUGCCUACAUCCACCAUUUUUAUUUUUUCUUCAACGGGUUUUAAGGCCUUCUCAGACUGCUCAAUUAUUUAUGGGAAUUCUGCUAUGUCAUCCUCUUCAAACUCUUUCCAUCCAUAGCAAUUGUGUUUUUAUUAAGAUUUAACCAAUUAUUCUUAAUGCGAUGAGUUUACAUGUUUAUUGAAGUUUCGCUUUCAAAUUGCUUGAAAGCGAAAAGUCUUUUUUGGUUAAGAUUGGUGGGAGCACUAGAGAGGUUAAAUGGUUGGUUAAAGUUAUGGCUAUAGGUGUGGAGACUGGAAAAUUUUAAAUAUUGGGAGGAAGAUGAAGGUUAAUGCUCUCAGUUCUCUAAUUUCAGUUAUGGUGAUAGUUGUUGAGACUUUGGUUGAAUUAGAGGCUAGUGUUAAUGGGUGUUAUUAUCGUAUUGUUACAGUUGAAGGUUAGCGAUUGAGGGGCUCUGUGUAUGAUGGAUGCUCUUUGGCCCCCCUUUUUUUUGUUGCCUCUGUUGGUUCUUAUAUAGAGAAAAGACACUGGUUUUUUUCAAUUUGAAGGCUGGAAAUCGGGGAUUUAAUUAUGAUUGCUAGAAUGCUGGGAUUAAGAAGUUGAUUCAAGGUAUUAAGAUCCAAUCCCCUGAUUAUAGCUGGUGUAUUGAAGAAUAAAAUCACAUGUUUAUUAAUCAAGGCUGUAGAUUAGUUGAUCUAGGAUUUAUUGCUAAAUGGAUUAUGAGCUAAAAUGAAAUGAUUGGAAAUAAUUAGACUAAAUUGAAUUAACGUAGGACUAAAUUGAAUCAAAUUAAUUCAAUUGGACUGAUAUGAUUAAAAUCAAUGAAUCAAUGUAGAAUAAAUUUAAUUAAAUGGACUGAAAUAAAAAUUCAGACAAACAUUCUUUAUUCUCAUUACAGUCAUUGGAUUUUGAAUUUUUUUCAAUUUCAUUUAAUUUGUUUUAAAUCACAUUUUCAUUUCAAUUGUUUUCCUAAUUGAAUCAAUUUAAACCUUCAGAUUUAACAACCUAUUACAAAUUCAUCCUUGGUUCCCAAAAUCAUGCAAUUUUGAUCAAUUUAACUCUCAUUUUUUAUCUUCUUCUUCAAUUAAGCCCUUCAUUAAUUUCUAACGUGGCUAUUUAUUUCAAAAUCAUCCUUGUACUUUCAAAUUUCUUUCAAUCUUAGCCAAGUUAAAUUAAAUUAAGCAUUUUUCUUAAUUCCUUUUCAAUUCAAACCUUGAUUAAGCCCAAAGAAAUCCUAAAUUCAAUUUUCACCUAUGAUGCUCAAUUAUUGGCCCAAUUUCAAACCCAAGCUAUUGUUUUUAUUUUUUUAUUUUGUAUUUUUUUAUGGUUUUCAAGAUUUUGUUUACACAAGAAUUAAAUAAAAAAAUGAUAAAAAUAAAGAAAUUAACUAAAACUACUAAAACAAUAUAUUUUUGGAUUUUUUUAAUUUUCAAAAUAUAAAAAAAUAGAGGGUUAAAAAUUGAAUUACAACAUUGUGUGCUUUUAUUCUCUUUGUGUGGUUGAUUGAUUCUCAUACCAAGUUCUUGAUUGAACUAAUAAACUCUUCUAAUGAAUGAUCAAAUUUAUUAUGAUUUAUAUUUCUCAUUCACGUCUCGUUAUAGACAUAAAAUGAAGGUGAUCAAUUGGAUAUAAUUUUGGUUCUUCAAUAUUAAGUUCUUAUUGGGUCAAGUUGCAAACUUUUCUUCAAAUCUCAAAUUAGCAAUCUAAGAAACAAUUCUACAUCACAAAUUGUAACUUAAAAACUAUCGACGGAUUUACCGAUGGAUAUUAGCAACGGGUUUAUUUUGUUGAUAAUAUUGUUUUUAUUAAUGACACAUCAUUUUUUUUUUUUUUCAUUUCUAAUUGUGUUUCCAUUGAUAUAUAACAAGGGACACAAUGAAGAAAUAUUCCAGCAAUAAAUGUUACUAUAAUAUACUAAUGGAAUCAAUUUCAUCGAUAUUAUUGUUUGUAUUUGCUAAUUUUCUAGUAGGAUUUUAAUAUGCGUCUAAAAAAAAUUCGAUGGGACAUAUAUGAAUUAACCAUCUAAUUUAUAUGCUUUAAAAUAAUAAAAAUGCAAUGAGAGAAAAUGCCUAGUAGCAAACUAAAAUAUUUUGAAGAUUUGAAAUAUUUUUCAAUUCUUCACCGGCCCAAACAGUAAGGUUAAUGGAAACAAAACAUCAUAUUAUAUAUAUAUAUAUGUUAAUUAGAGAAUAUUGUCAUAUGUUAAUUACAUAAAACUAAAGGCAAAUAUCUUUCAAUUGAUAAUUAUAUAAAUAAAUGUCAAAACAUGUGUUGUUCUAUUCACAAACGUACACUGCAGCAACCUCCUAACUAAUCCGAUUCAGGGAAAGGAAAGCAUAAGAAUGAAUUCAAGAAUAAAAGAGAAGAAACUUAAUACAAUUUGUCGGGGAGGAAUUAGAGCUUGUAAUAUUGUAAAAGAAGAAGAAUCAAACGCCAGCAUAACCACCAUCACAAGUGCAACUACCGUUUCCACUGCUCAUGUCUCCAGGUUGACGAGGUCUAGCGCUGAGACAACAGCACAUAAUACCUAUUAAUAACAUGAAACCCCAUGCUGUGGCUAUAGCUUGAGCCCAGAUCAUGACAUGCUCCAUUUAUCUUCUUCUUCUCGAGUCCUUCUAUGUCUCGGGACUCCAGUCUUGUACACCCUCCUUUCCCUUUUCUCAUCGUCUCAAAGUUUCAGAACAGGAAGGUUUAUUCAUUGGUGGGCAUGGCAGAGAAUGAGGGAUUAUGACUCCCCAUAAAGGUAACGGUAUCAGCCCUUUAGCUGUAAAGGGAAUUAUGCUGCAGCAGCUGGAGAGAGAGAGAGAGAGAUUUGUAGUGCACAUGGGCUGAGCUUGAAAGAGGCCGAAAUAACAUGGACCAGCCUGUGAAUCUAACAGCGUUCCUUACACAGAGCAGAGCCAGUAGACACCGUCAUCUCCUCUUUUUCUUUUUCUUUUUUCUUCAGUUUUUAUUUUUCUUCUUUUAUCUUUCUUUUUGAAGAAUUAAUUCCUUGAUCUGUGGUUUUUGCUUUUGAUAUACUCUUUAGCCCUUUACGUUCAACAAGAUCCAUAUCCCAGUGUGUGUGUCCCAUAUUAAAGCAAUCAUUUUUUAUAUUUAUUUUUUAUUUUUUUGGGGUAUAUUUAUAUUCUAUUUAUGAUAAAAUAUAUUAGAAAAUAAUAUAAAUCAUAUUUUGAGACAUCAUCUAACAAUUUAAGAUUUUUAAUUGAGAUGAUUUUUUUGACAUGAUAUCAGAGCUUUGAUGAUCAAGCGGACCGGUCACGAGUUCAAAUCUCACCUCCCCUAUUUAUUUGAUAAAAAAUAAGUAUAAGGUAAUAUGAGCUUGUACAAGUUUUAAUGUCAAAGGGCUUUCACUUAAAGAUGUAUGUUAGAAAAUAAUAUAAAUAAUAUUUUGGAACCUCACCUGACACCUUAAAUUUUUGAAUUGAGAUGGUUUCUUGAUAAAAAUACAUCAAUAAACUUGAAAAUCACUUUUUAUAUUUAAUUAAAAAAAAUUCUUAACAUUCCAACCAAACAUCAACAGUAUAUAAAACAAGGCAUUAGUUUUGUAAUCCACAGAUGGUAUCAAAUACAUGAUGAUUCUCUCACCAACAUUUUCGUGCAGCCAGCGACACAUGCCUUUAACAUUCGGCACCCUACUCAAUGUUUAAUGAAAAGUUGAGUUUUCUUUUUGCAAUCCUUUCAUAAACCAUAUAUAAGAUGUUUUUAACUGAGACUCGAAGAAAUAAUUGAAGAGGUCUUGUCCAAAAAUUAAAAAAAAAAAUAUGAGAGAGAAUUCAAUAUGUCCAAAGAGAAUUGCUUUCGGACAAGUCGAGCUAUUGCCAGAGUGUGAGUAAUGAGUAUAAUAGAUGUCGUGAAGCAAACUAACUCUAUAAUAUUUCUAUCAAUUCAUACAUAUUAACAUUUGUCUUCCUUCGUGCAAUACAGGCUAACCUCAUCUGUGUAUAUGCAUGUGUAUGUUAAAAAAUAAUAUAAAUUAUAUUUUAUAACCUCAUCUAAAAACUUAAGUUUUUGGAUUGAGAUAGUUCUUUGAUAUGAUAUUAAAGUUUUGAUGACCAAGUGAUUACGAGUUCGAAUCUCAUCAUCCCUAUUUAUUUGAUAAAAAUUAAGCAUAAGGUAAAAUGAGUUUAUACAAGUUUCAAACCUAAAGGGCUUUCACUUGAGGGGAUGUGUUAGAGAACAAUAUAAAUCAUAUCCUGAGACCUCACUUAAAAGCUUAAGCUUUUGAGUUGAGAUGGUUCUUUGACAGUGUAUCAUAUAAACUUUUAUCAUAUAAACUUUCCCUGACUGAUGAUUUUUGGCCCGUGAUUAUAUUGCAAAACAAAUUCUUUGUGAAACAAAAUUUUGAGAUUGUUUGAUUAAGUGAUAAAUACACGUAGAAAAUAAAAUAAGUGUUGUUAAUAUAUAGAGAAAAGAUACUAAGUGUAAUAUUGUUCAAAUCAAUUCUUUUUUUUUUCUUUCAAAACUUGGGAAUAUAUAAUUUUGAGAAAUAUUUGUAAAAUAUUUAGAAAAAUAUCUUGAGAAAUAUAGGUAAAAAAAUACUAUUUAUAAAUAGUAUCAUAUAUAUUAUUAUUCAUGAAUAAUAAUAAAUAAUAAAUUAAGAUGAGUGAAAAUAGGUUGAUUAGACUAAAAUUCAAGCUUGGUUGGACGUCGGUGUAACCAAGCUUCUUGAAGCUUAGUUAAAGCCUGAAUAAAGGAAGAAAUUAGAGAAAAAGACGAAGUGAGAAAGAGAAAAUUAAGAGAGGAAGGAUACAGAGAGAAAGAAGGGUAACUCCGAUGGGCAUCCUAUCGAGCUUCUUCAACUCUCUUUUUUUAAUUAUUAUCGCUCCCCUUGCAUAAUCAUGCGCUGUCAACUCGAUGGAUGAAGCAAAUUAAAAAUACUUGAGAUGGGUAGGUGGUCUCUUCUCUUUUGUCUCUUAUAAAGUGAGACGCAUGAUCAUUUAAGGUACUUGAAAAUCUGUCAUCGGAAAACAUAUGAUCACGUUGUAAAGCUAGGCAAGGGGACCUGCCACACGUCUAUAUUUUAUUACGACCAUGCUGAUUUUGAGAAAGAUCGAUGGUCAAUACGGAAAAGGAGCUAAAAGCUCAUGCUUGCGCUUGUGGAAAUGAGAUGAGAGGAAAACACACGAAAGCCAACUGGGAAGCUCAUUGAGUGCCAUUUGUACUGAGAAUGGAAGCGAGCAAACGGGCCUUGUAACCCAAUUUUCCUGUCAUGUUACCUUUUAUCGAAAGAGCUCGAUCGACUCCAAUAUUUUUCCUUGCAUGUCAAAAUGAUUCUCCCUUGUAGGAAUUGCAUUACAUAACAGAAGGAACCUCUCUCUCUCUCUCUCUCUCUCUCAACUCUUUGUUCAACUUUUACUGAGGUCCUGGACUGACUGCUGUAAAGGAAAAUAAUUUGUUUUGUGCACGUAAAGCAACCAACAGUAUCGUGAAGUAGCAGAAGCAUCCAUAGCUUCAUAUCCUUAGCUAGCAAAUUCUUUUAUUCGAUUCAAAAUUUUAAUCAUGUAAUGAUUUAUUAUAUAGCUUCCUUUUUAUAUAAUACUUGUGAUGUAAUGAAUCAUUGUAAUUAAUUUAAUCCUCUAUUAUAUUACAAUAUCAAUAAUUCACAACAAAACAUAGAAAUAUAAUCAACCAUUACUUUAUAUGAUAUAAAAUGGACAAUCUGUAUAUAGGAAUAUUGGUGAUAUAAAAUGAAAAUCUGUAGAAAACAACUCUUUUCAAUACAUACUACUUAAUGCACCUUCCUAAACGAUACAGAAUCCCGAGAGCUCAUCCAUCCAACAAUUAUAAAAUGCUACUAUUUUCCCUUUCUUUGUUCAGAUUUUUUUUUUUUUAUAACCCGGGGUGUCCGGACUAGCUUACGCGCAUCACGACUAAUCUCCGGAUUCACUGAACACUCUGCAAGCCUAAUAGACAGGUAAAGCACCACAGGGAUGACAGGCGUACACACUAAGAUUCAAACCUAAAAUGCAGAGGCUGGGAAUUCCCUGACAGGAGCGCUGGCCACGAACCUGGGUGCCUUUUGUUCAGAAUUCUACAAAUAUUGGUGGUUACAAACGGAAACAAUUCGCUUUACUGAAUGAAGCCCAGACAAUUUGCAUGAUAUAUUGGAUAUCUUGCAGUAAAACCGCGUAUCUCUACAAGCAGCAAUGAUAAUAAUGGCCCCCAACUAGUAAUAGGACAAUUUUUAUUGUAGCGGCAAUAAUAGCACAGUAGAAUCCCAAAUAACCUGAAGGGGAAUUCAUAACUAUUAUCAUGCUUAUAAAGUAAUACAAAGGCGAACUUUUACUUGUACAUGCAAAGAAAAUAAAAUCCCCAACUUCAAAGAUGUAAACCAAAGCAGAUUUACUUACAUGCCACAAGCUCAAGCUACAGCUCACUGUAAUUGCACCAAACUGCACGAAAUGUUUUCAGACGUGCUUUCAGGUUAGGUCUUCUAAAACUUGCAUGCAGGAUAGUGGCUGAGAGAGGGAGAGAGAGUUAAGCAAAGAGCUCAUGAAAUUUUGAAGAAAAAGUGUGAAAGAUACGAGUAAGAAACGAACCAAGAAGUCCAGUGGCAAGUGCCCAGAGAACAGUACUCAAAAGAUCACAGGAGGCAUACCAAAAGGAUGAAACUCACUGCAGAACAUCAGUAGAAAGCAAAUACAAUCAGCUAACAGAAAAUGGUGUUUGGUUCACCACACAAGGUUUGAGUUUGAAAUUGCUUUAAAAGAAGAAAAAAUCGACUGACAGUAUUAAAGUAUGAGAAGAAAAAACCAUGACAAACACCCAACAUAUGUAAAUUGCUCUCUUCGUCGAUGGACGUUCACGAAUAACAGGUCUGUCAAUGCUAAACAGUGAAUAAAACAGCAAAGUACUAGAUGCUGCACAAAACAAUAGUAAACAAAAGGACUUGCGUCAGAGGAGGUCUCAUUUUUUCUGCUAAAUGCGGAGAGAAUUGCCUCACAGUUCUGGUUAACUUCUCACUAAAAGUACCUGCAAAGCUGUAGAAAAUAAAUUCCAGCAACCAGGAACGGGGAAAAUAAACCAAGAACAGAUAAUAACAAAAGUUGAAGGAUAUGGGGGUAACUGGGUAAGGGUGAAGCAGCAAUGAGAAAUGACAAUGAGAUGGCAACCAAGAUGCUUUAGUCAUUCUGCAUUUUAACUUCACAAAUCUCUUGGCUACAUCAAAUGAAACACUUGCUAAAAAUUGCUGAAGACAAUUUAAUAUCUCCGAUCCCUCCUACCACACCGACACCUUGCACCCAGAAAAAGAAAAAUGAAAAGGAGCAUGCUAGUUCACAUGAGGAUUGGUAUUCCACCCAUUAGGAAACGCAAGCUCCAACAAUGCAAUUACUCAAGAGGCUUAAAAACCAAUUCCAUCGCACAACUGAUCUUGUUUCUUUAAAUAGACCUUCUAAUUUAAAAUUUAGCUAUUAGAUUUUUGCACUCGCCAAUGCAUGUAAGAUUUAUUGCUUAAUGCAGGUAGAGUGAGAAAAGUAACUGGGCGUGGCCACGUUACCUCCAAAGAAUAUACUUAGUUAGGUGAUCACCGCUAUAUCAUGCGCUUAUUUUUUAUGUUUAUAAAAAAUUUAGGUUCGGCAUCCAGCCGGCCUCAAAGUUAUUUUAGUUACUGCAUCCUUCCAAAUCCAAGGCUAUUUUGAGUCUUGUCCGCCAGGACUCAAAGCUAUUUUAAAUUAUAUAAAAAUUAAGAUUUAUGACUAUUGGGUCGUAUCUUCGCCAGAACCUAAAGAUAUUUUGAGUCUUGUAUAACGCUGGACUAACAUAAAUAUUUAUAAUAUUAAUAAUAAUAUUUAAUUUAUUUAUUAAAGUUUUUAUAUCUUUCAAUUAUUUAAAAGAUAUAUAUAAUUUUUCUUCGAUGAUAAUAAUUUUUUUUUUCAAUUUACUAAUGAUGAUGAUGAUGAUGAUAGUACAAAUUUGUAAUUCUAUCCUUUAAAUCAAAUCUAUUAUUGUUAUUUUUAAUAAUAAUAAUAUUUAUGAUAUUAAUAAUACUAUUUUUUAUAUUAAUACUUUUAAUUAUAGUAAAAAUAAUAAUAUUUAUAACACAAACAAUACUAUUUUUAAUUUUAAUACUUUUAAUUAUAAUAAAAAAAUAAUAUUUAUAAUAUAAAUAAUAAUAUUUGUAAUAUUAAUACUUUUAAUUAUAAUAAAAAAAAUAAUAUUUAUAAGAUAGAUAAUAAUAUUUUAUCAUAUUAAUAAUAAUAUUAAACUUGUAUAAUCAAAGUUUAUACAGUAAUAUUUUUUUCAAUUUUUUUUAACAAUAAUAAUAAUGAUAAUUGUUAUUAUAUUUUUUUUUUCAAUUUUAUUCUAUUCUUAAUAUUAAUACUUUCAAUUAAAAUAAUGAUAAUAAUAUUUAGAAUAAAAAUAAUAAUAUUUAUCAUAUUAAUAAUAAUAUCAAACUUGUCUAGCCAAAGUUUGUAUAGUAAUAAUUGUUUUUUGAAAAAAUUAUUAACAAUAAUAAUAAUGAUAAUUGUUAUUAUAUAUAUUUUUUUAAUUUUCUUUUAUUCUUAAUAUUAAUACUUUUAAUUACAAUAAUGAUAAUAAUAUUUAGAAUACAAAUAAUAAUAUUUAUCAUAUUAAUAAUAAGAUCAAACUUGUCUGGCCAUAGUUUAUACAAUAAUAAUUGUUUUUUGAAAAAAAUUAUGAACAAUAAUAAUAAUGAUAAUUGUUAUUAUUAUUUUUUAUUUUUCUUCUCUGCAGGGUCUGCCAAUCCAACCGUGUGGUCUUUAAACCUAAGGGCUAUGAGAACAGACCAGAGCGGCUGAGUCUGCACCCAUCGCGCGGGUCUGCUGGCCAGGCGCUCGGGGGUUUGUACACCUUAGGCUCGCUAGUCUGCAGACCCCAGGCUCGAGGGGCUGUAGACCCACUCACCCUAAGGCUGGGCAAACCACGCUAGGUGUCUGCUUCCUGGGGCCGUGGCCAAGCGCUGAGGCCGGUCCCAACGCCCUGGCUUGGCAGCUCUAACGUCAGGUGUACCUUGCCUCGCGGGUCUGCACACCCUAGGCUCGCAGGUUGCAGACCCUAAGCUCGCGGGUCUGCACACCCAGGCUCGCGGGCUGCACACCCGCUCGCCCUGGGGUUGCAGCCAAGUGAGCGGGUCUGCGCCCAUGGCUGGGCAAACCUCGCACCAAGUGUCUGCAUGCUAGGGCCUAGGCCAGCCCCAGCGCCACGUGGCUGCAACCUGGGGCACGGGCAGGUGCCCGUGGCCUACCCAACGCCCAAGCCUAGCAAAACAUUUUCUAUUGUCAGAUUGUAUUUGGAUUCUUUAUAUAUUCAUUCUGCAAAUACUUAAAAUCUAUGCAGCACACACAACACAAUAACACUAGUUCUAUGUAUAAUAAUAAAAUAAAUAUUUCUUUGUGAUUUAAUAAUAAAUAAACAUCAUUGUCAUUACAUUAAAGUUAAUUUCAUCUAAAAAUAUUACAUUAUAGUUUAUGGCAUUACACAAUCAUGUUGUGCAAAUUAAUGAGAAUCAUCUUCUUUUUCAAUUUCAUCAUCAUCAUAUUCAUCGCAAUCUUCUAUGUUGAUUUGAUAUAGAUUUCAUCUAUAUCAUAAUCUUCAUUGACUUGUGUAUGUUUAUUGGUUCUUAAAACAUCAUUUAACUCCUCAACGUCAACGUCAAUAUCAACAAAAAUAUUCUCAGCGACGUGAAAAUUUGAAUUUUUUUCUAAGUCAUUAGAUGGAACAACUCGAUAUGGAUCAACUAACUAGUCAAGUUGAAAGACAUCAUCUCUUACAAUUAAUUCAUCGUUGCCAUUUUAAACAACUUGGACAUGACCUUUGGGUUUGGUUUUUAUUACAGAUAACCAAUCAACUGUUGAACGAUCAUUUCUAAAUGAAGGAGUGUAUGUGUAAUAAACUUUUUAUUAUUAUUUGGUGAAAACAAAGACAUUGUCAACGUUGUGAAGUCUAGCCUUUGUAUUAAUUUCGACCAAACUAUGAUGGAGAUCUACUCUGAUUCCUCUAUCAGUGAUGUCAUACCAAUAGCAUUUAAAUCAAAAGACUAUAUUUGGCUUGCUAUGAUAUUGCAAUUCAAUGACCUCUUUUAACUUUUCAUGGUAGUCAACUUCAAACUCAUUAGAAGUUGAUCCCUUAACACAUACCUCAUUGUUAUGUAUCUUUCUACCUUGACUAUACUCUUUAGUAUUAAACACAUCUAUUGAUGAAAUACCCAUUAAAGCACUUCACCUUUCUUUCAAGACCAAAACUUAGUAAAUUCAAAGUAACACUAGCAUUCCCUUCCAAUUGAUAAACCUGGUACAUGAAUUACAUCUCUAUCACAGUUAACGAGAAAUGUAUAAUAAAAUUAAAUAUCCUGAGAUAUAAGAAUAAUUAAAUAGCCUUUACAUGUGUUAUGAAACACAUGGAAAAUUGUUCAUCUUAUAGUCGAAAGAUUUAAAAUUCAGUCAGCUAUAAGUUUUUGGACAGUCAAAAUUAACGAUGUUGCCUACGAGGAAUUCAUCAAUCUAUCAAUUUAUGAUCGUAUAAGAGAUAAAUUGUUCGAAAGUAACAACAUGUGGAGUAUUAUACAUACUGAAUAAAAGAUCUCAGUUGAUCACAAUUCAUCUCAAUUCAUUACUCGUAAGGGUAUAAAUUAUAUAUUAUAAACUAACUCUUUUCAAAUGGCAUGAUUUUAUAACAAUAAAUUUUCAAAGGUUUGAUAAAAGUAGUAUCUUCUUUUGUCUUUGUUUUCUUCAUGGUUUGACUAUACUCCAAAAAUCCAUUCAUGAAAUAAUACAUGGAAUUCACUUCUUUUUUUAUAAUAGUAACUCUCCCUUUACCUUUACAAAUCAAACUCCUAAUUCACUUUUUUUAUUGAUCAAUAAGAAAACACAUAAAAAGUUCAUAACUUUGAUUUUAAUUCUUGGUAUUUUUUAAUUUAUGCGAAAAUAAAAUGGUAAAUUAAUCAAGACUCAUUUUUAUUGGUUUAAGUUUUGUACUUAAUUCUAAUUUAUUUAUUCCAUGUAUAAGUAUUAAUAAUAUUGUUAUCCUAUUAAAUAUCUAGAAUUAUACAUAAAUUAUAUUGGUAUAAAUAUGUGUUGAGAGUAUUGUAAUCUAAGUCCAUGGAUUCAUAGGAUUUUCUCUACUACAAGAGUUAUAUAUAUAUAUAUAUAAGAAUGAGAUAUUAUUUUCUUUCUAAAAGAACUUAGCAAUGCUCUAGCCCAAUAUUAUUGAAGUUGGGGUAUUACAAUUCCCAUCCUUCUAUUUUCUCUUAUAAAUUCAUACCGAUUUAGGUUAUGUAGUUAUAUAGAUAUUCUUAGAUAAAAUUUGAUUAUUGUAGCAAUAUAAAAAAAUAAUAAUUAAAACAAAAAAGAUGAGAUGAUAAAAAAAACGAAGAUAAAACUUUGUUUAAUAAUAGAGUAUAAGACAGAGUAGUUGUUUCUGUAUUUUAUUUAAUUAAAAAUAGACAAGACUAAACAAAAUACAAUAUAUAUAUAUAUAUAGAGAGAGAGAGAGAGAGAGAGAGAUUUUAUUUAACAUGCAAACAUGAGCAGGAUCAUCAAAUAAAUAUUUAGUUCCCGUAUUGACUUAGUACUUCUAAUAGGAAAAAUCAUUUAAAUUAAAAGGCAAGAACUUAUAGAUUAAAAGACAGAAAAAAGUCAUUUCAUUCUAUAUACAGAAGGUACGUAGUUGCUCAUGCUAUUUGAAAGAAAAGAAACCUAGUGUCUGUUAUUUGGAGAAUGAUUGGCCAAUCAAGAAAAAGAAAUGGAAGGAAGAAAGAAAGAAAUGAGAAAUCUUUUCCAUCUAAUGCUAAAGGCCUGACUAGUGGUGGAAAUGUAGCCUGAUUUUGAAUGCACAUUUACUCAAAUAUGUUACGUUUUUUACCGGAUAUAUAUAUUAUGAUAAUAACUUAUUCAAACAAUUAAUAAGAACUAAUAUAGGAGAUGAAAUCAUUGUUCCCUCUUUGCAUGUUACUGUUUAUUGGAAUAAUAAUAUAUAUAUAUAUAUAUAUAUAUAUAUAUAUAUUAAAUAUUUUAAUAUUAUAUUUAUUAGAAAUUGAAAUUUGUUAUUUAUUUUGGUUUUCUUCGUAUAAGGCUAACAUGAUUUUGGAAAAAGAUCAUAUGAAGUUCAAUUUUAUGAUUGUUUAUUUUUUUUAUAUCAUAUUAUUAAAUAAAAAAUAAAUGUAAAAUCAUUGUUUCCCUCCUCAUGUAUUCAUUGGAAUAACAUGUUUUUUUUCUUUUUAAAAUUUUCAUAUUUAAAUAUUAGGUUUAUUGGAAAUUAAAAUUCGUUAUUUAUUUUGGUUUUCUUCGUAUGGAGUUAUCAUAGUCUCAGAAAAAAAAAUUGAAAUUGAAUUGGUGCUUAGUUUUACAAUCAUCUACUUUAUCCUAUCAUAUUUUUAAAUAAAAAAUGGUAUAUCAUAUUGUUAAAUAAAAAAUAAAGGGAAAUUUAUUGUUCAUAAGUAACAUGUUUUUUUUCCUUUUAUUUUUCUCUUUCCUUUUAUUUCCUUUUUUUUUUUUCAUUUUUGUAUUUCAAUAUUGAGUUUCUUAGAAAUUAUACUUUGUUAUUUAUUUUGGUUUUUUUUUAUAUAGGGUUAUCAUGGUCUUGAAAUAACAUCAUGUCAUUAGGUUGGUGCUUAGUUUUAUGAUCGUCUACUUUUUAUAUCAUAUUAUUAAAUAAAAAAUGGAUCUGAAAUAAUAUUAUGAAUUGAGCUUAAAGAUUUAUUUUAAUUUAUUUUUUAUGAAGUUAUCGUGAUCUUGGAAAAACAUAUAACAAUGAGUUAGUGCUCGGUUUUUUUAGCAUCUAUUUUUUUAUCAUAUUAUUAAAUAAAAAAUAAUUAUAUAAAAAAACAUAAUUAUUGAGAAUUAGACUUCAUGAUUUAUUUUCAUUUACUUUUUAUGGGGUUAUCGUGGUCUCAUAAAAAUAUCUUGGUAUUGAGUUUGUGAUCGGUUUCGCAAGCGUCUAUUUUUUAUCAUAUAAUUAAACAAAAAUAAUUUUAAAAACGUUAUUCAUCACAAUGGCGUUAAUGACCUAGAUUACAAGUUUAUCUUGAAACUAUUUUUAAAAUCAAACAUGUUUUUACUAGUCGUCUAAGUUUUUUUUUAACUCACCAAGUCAUUUAGAUCAUGCCAAGGUAACUUCUAUUCAAUUUAAUUUGAACCUUUAGCUAGAUAAAAAGAAUUUCUCUUAGUAUAAUUUCUCUUAGUAUGAACAAUAUGUUUUACAUGUAAAACAAUCUUGGUCCUGCCACAACAUAGCAACAUAGCGUGGAGAAUUAUCUAGUUGCGACUAUUCUUGCAUAGUAACACAAAAACUUUAACAAAGAAAUCUUGACCAAGGUAUCAUCAUUUGACAAAUUUUUUUAAUUUUUGAGAGAAAAAAAAAAGAAUUGAUAUAUAGUUUUUAGGUUCUCAAGAGCUGCUAUGAUAUUGAGAAAUGCACAUGUAAAAAGGCCAUUGCAAAUUUAAGAAAAUUUGGCUUAACAUGGCUUAUGAAAACUAUCUUUAACUUUUAAUCAAAAUUAUUUUUUAUAAAUAACUUAUAAAGAAAUAAGUUAAAUUUUAAAUUUGAAGCGUUUUUAAUAAAAAUAAUUUAAAUUAUUUUUUUUAAAAAGUACAAGUUAGAAUUCAUAAGUUAAAAAUUGUAAGUUGCUUUCAUAACAAAUUUUUAUUUAAAUUAAAAUUCAUUUCUAACUAAAUAUAUUUAUGAUUUUUUUCAUGAAUCAAAAGUUAACAAAAAAAAAAAAAAAAAAGGGGAUUUUACUAUAUAUCUCCUCACAAAACACUAUUUACUUGAAUAGUAUCUUCUUUUCCCUUCUUUUGUUUUAUUCCCCAUCUAUAUUUUUCUUCUUCUUCUUCUUUUUCAAAUUUUAAUUUUAUUCUGUAAUAUUAGAUUUAUUAGGGAUUGAGUUUCAUAUUUUUUUUCAAUUUAUUUUUUAUGCGGUUAUGUUAGUCUCAUGACCCGGACCACGAGUUUGACUCGGUUUACUCGAGUUUUUCUUCCUUUUCCUUAUUGUUUUUUUUUUCAAUUUCAUCCUUCAAUAGUGGGUUGAUUUUGAAUUAGGUUUCUUGAUUUGUUUUGGUUUGAAUUCAAUGAGAUUAUCUUCAUUUCAUGACUCGGGUUGACUAGAGUUUUUUUUUCCUGUUUUUUAAUCAUUUUUUUUUCAAUUUCAUCUUUAAAUACUAGUUAAUUGAGAAUUGAACUUCAUAAUUUGUUUUAAUUUUUUUUCUAUUGGGUUAUCCUGGUCUAAUGAUCUAGGUCACGAGUUUGGUAUGUUAACCCGAGUUGACUUGAGUUAUUUUUUUGUUCUAUUUUUAAUUCAUUUUUUCUAAAUUUCAUCAUUUAAUAUUGAGUUUCUUGAAAAUUAGAUUUUAUAAUUUGUUUUUAUUUAUUUUUCAUGGGGUUAUCAUAUAUCAUGACUUGGCAUGUGGAUUAGCUUGUUCACCCGAAUUGACCCGAAUCGAUCCAUUAUUUUUUUGUCUCAGUAUUUAUAUAAAAAUAAAAUAUCAUCUUAAAUAUUUAUUAUGAGUCAAACCUUAUUUUUACUAGUCAUCUGAGUUGUUUUUGAUCUUGUUAAAUCAAUAAGAUCACAUCACAUCAAUCUCAUAUAUUUAAAAUUAUUUUUUACUAGAAAGAACAUUAAUAAUACCUAAAUAUAUUAAAUAUCUUUUUAUAUGAAAAAAAUAUUUAAUCCAACUUGCAAUAUAACACUGAAGAAAAUAAUCUUAUCAUUAUUGUAUUUUAUUACAUAAUAUGUUAGUUGGCUACAAGUGGAGGGAAGACAAUACAUGUUAGCUUUUGUCCUGUAUGUUCUUCCCUUGGUAUCAUUUAAAGUUUGGCACAUAGAUUUUUUCCACCCUGACCCAGAGUCGACUUGGACUUGGAUCCUUCUUCUAGGUUGUAAGAAGUUUGUGGACACAAAACUUCAAUGUGAAAAUAGGAAUUGUGGCCAUGAAUGUAUGAUACUAUAGUGUCGAGUAAUUUUAAAAGUAUUUUCUCUCACCCGUGAACAAUACGGAAGGAAUUAAAAUGCUCCCACAUGCAUAUUUGAAUAUAAGAAUUAUUAAUUUAAAAUUGGAGAAAGAGAUUUAUGUGCCUAUAAUAAUAUGAUUCAGCCAAUGCAUAAUAGACAUGAUAGCCUUUUGAUUGUUCUUGAUUUGUUGAUUUUAAUCAACAAAAGUGACAAUGGCAGCAUGAAUUUUCCACCUUGCAAUAGCAUUGUCAGCUUUAUUCCGUUUAAAGUUUUUCUUGUCGUUGAGAUUUAUAUAAGAAAAUUUUUCUUAAUAAGUAAAUAAACUGAUGGAAUCAAUAUAAUAAAAAGAUAUUUAAGUUAAUAUUAACCUUAAAUCUUCCAAACCAUACAUUAAUCAUAGAUUUUCAUUCAAAAUGUUUGGAAACCUAACUCCAUUAAAAUAAUAUAAUUUCCAUUGAAGAUUUCAUUGUUGAUGUUAUAGUUCUGAGAGCCUCAAUAUUUGUAAACCUAAAAUUACAUUCAUUAAUUGUUUGUUAACACCAACAAAUCAAUUAGCCAACCAUAUUAAUAAGAAAAAAUUAGAAAUAAUUUAAAAAAUGCCAAAAAUAUAUAUACAAUCAUUAAAGAACAUAAAAAUUAAAAAUUUCCAAUAACAUUUAUACAAUUAUUAAUAACAAAAGAAUAAAAAAAUAAAAAACAAUUUUCAUCAACAUUUAUGCAAUUAUUUAUAGAAAAAAACUUUAAAAAAUUUAAAAAAUUGCCAUCAACAUUUAUACAAUUAUUUAUAAUAGAAAGUUUUUUAAAAAAAAUCCACUAACAUUUACACAAUUAUUGAUAAUGAAAAAAAUAAAAAAACUUCCCAACAAAAUUUAUACAAUUAUUAAUAACAAAAAAUGAAAAAAAAAACACGAAAAGAGAAGGAAAAGGAAGAAUCUUACCUUAAUGUUGAAUUUUCCCGAGCCUAAAAGAGAAAACAAUUUGAACAAAUCAUUAAAUAAAUAGAGAAGAAGAGAAGGAGAAAAUAUAUCUACGCGCGGAGAAGAAGAGAGGAGAAGAUAAUGGGUUGAGAAUAGAAAGAGAGAGAGAAGAAAGAGAAAGAUGAAGAUUUGGGAGGAGGAGAAAAGAAGUUGCAAAGGAAGAGAGAAGAAGAGAAUUGUGCCCAUCUGUUCUGAUUUUAGGGAUUUUAGUAUUUUAAUUUGAGGUUUUUUUACUGAUGGACAAUUAAAUAUUAAUAUUUUUAAUUUUUCUAUCAAUAUUCGUUUGCAAAGUCUAAUUUAAAUUUUCAAUUUAAUAAAAAAUUUUCAGAAUCACACCAACUAUCACUAACUACUUUUUUUCGUAUGCCAGUGAUUCCAUAUGUACUGAUCAAUAAUAAACAAUGCAAGUGAGAUAUGAACAGUACCUUAGAUCUCGAAAAAAUAUCGACAUUCAUUUACAAUCAGUGAUUUCAUAUAUAUAUUGAUCAGUAAUAAAUAGUGCAAAUAAGAAAGGAAUAGUAUCUUAGCUCUCGGGAAAAUACCGACAUACAUUAACCGUUGGUGAUUCUGUAUGUACUGAACUGUAAAUAAACAAUGCAAGUGAAAAGUAAACAGUAUCUUACCUCUCGAAAAAAUACCGACGGACAUUAAUUCUCGAUGAUCCCGUGUGUAUUGAACACAAUAAACAAUGUUAGUGAGAAUGGAACAAUUUCAAUGCUUUCUGGAAUAUAUCGACGGACUUAAUUCAUCGGUGUAUCUUUUGUAUUUUUCAUGUCCAUCGGUAUUUUCAUUCGUGCAAAACAGUUUCUAUUGCUAGAUUGUAUCUGGAUUCUUUAUGUAUCCAUCCUACAAUUACUUAAAAUCACUACAGCACACAGAGCACAAUAACACUAGUUCUAUCUAUAAAAAUACAUUAAAUAAAUGUUUCUUUGUAAUUUAAUAAUAAAUAAACGUUAUUGUCAUUAUAUUAAAGUUAAUUUCAUCCAUAAAUAUUACAUUACAGUUUAUAGCAUUAUACAUUAGUGUUGUGCAAAUUAAUAAGAAUCAUCUUCUUUUUCAAUUUCAUCAUCGUCCAUCAUAAUUUUCUAUGUUGAUUUUAUUGCUAAUAUUAUCUUCAUUGACUUAUGUAUGUCCGCUAGUUCUGAAAACACCAUUUAACUCCUCAAUGUCAACAUCAAUAAAAGUAUUCUCGGCGACAUGCAAAUUUGAAUUUUCUUCUAAGUCAUUAAAUGGAGCAACUCAAUAUGGAUCAACUAAUUCGUCAAGUGGAAAGACAUCAUCUCCUACAACUAAUUCAUCGUUGCCAUCUUGAACAACCUGGACAUGACCCCUGGGUUUGGUUUUUAUUACGGAUACCCAAUCAACUGUUGAACGAACCUUUCUAAAUGAAGGAGUGUAUGUGUAAUAAACUUUUUGUUAUUUCUUGGUGAAAACAAAGACAUUGUCGACGUUGCGGAGUGUAGUCUUUGUAUUAAUUUCAACCAACCAUGAUGAAGAUCUACUCUGAUUCCUCUAUCAGUGGUAUCAUACCAAUAACAUUUGAAUAAAAAGACUAUAUUCUGAUUGCUAUAAUAUUGCAAUUAAAUGACCUCUUCACACAUCCCAUGGUAAUCAACUUUAAACUUAUUAGAAGUCGAUCCCUUAACACAUAUCUCAUUGUUAUAUGUCUUUCUACCCUAACUAUACUAUUUAGUAUUAAACACAUAUAUUGAUGAAAUACCUGUUAUAGCACUUCACCAUCUUUCAGGACCAAAACUUAGUAAAUUCAAAGUAACACCAACAUUCUCUCCCAAAUGAUAAAUCUGGUACAUGAAUUACAUCUUCAUCAUAGUUAAUAAGAAAUGUGUAAUGAAAUCAAGUAUCCUGAGAUAUAAGAAUAAUUAAAUAGUCUUUACAUGUGUUCUAAAUCACGUGGAAAAUUGUUCAUCUUAUAGUUGAAAGAUUUGAGAUUUAAUCAGUUGUGAGUUAUUGGACAGUCAAAAUUAACGAUGUUGUCCACGAGGAAUUCAUCAAUCUAUCAAUUUAUUAUAGUAUAAGAGAUAAAUUAUUCAAAAGUAACAACAUAUGGAGUAUUAUAUAUACUGAGACUGAAUAAAAGAUCUCAGUUCAUCGCAGUUCAUCACAUGUCAGGUCAUAAAUUAAAUAUUAUAAACGGAUUUACCAAUGGAUUUACUGAUGGAUUUAAUCGACGGAUAUAAAUUCAUCGGUAAUUUUGUCUGUAAAAACAACAUGUCAUCUUACUUUUUGGAUUUUUUUCCAUUUCUUUUUUUCCUACUGUAAUUCUCUAGGUGGAUUCAUUUGAUUUUUUUAAAAUGAAGAAAUGACACAUCGAAUUUAGAAUAAGCGGUAGAAAAUGUUUUGAAGAUAUUGAAGAGUCACGCCUCUUGAUCUUGAAAGUGGUAAUGGGAUUAUUAACAAGGAAUGCAUUUGGUUAAUAAUCAAUUGUAAAUAAAUGUGUUUAAAAGACCAAAUUGAUUACACUUCAUUUAUUUUCUCUUUCUAAUUUAUUUAUGGUUAUUCCAUCUUUCUAUGGUUUGUACAUCAAAUCAAAACACUCAUACCUUUUUGUAUAGGGCAAAGCUUUAACUUACAAGAUUUAAGAUAUGAGCAUCAUAAAAGUUUUUCAUGUAAAAGUAUUAAUAAUAUUGUUAUCCUAUUAAAUAUGUAGAAUUAUACAUAAAGUAUAUUGGUAUAAAUAUGUGUUGAGAAUAUUAUACUCUAAAUCCAUGGAUUCAUAGGACUUUCUCUACAAUGAGAGUUAUAUGAUAUAAGAAUGAGAUAUUAUUUUCUUUCAAACAGAACUUAGAAAUACUCAAGCCCAAUAUUAUUGAAGUUGGGAUAUUACAAAUCCCAACCUUCUAUUUUCUCUUACAAAAUCAUAUUGAUAUAGGUUAUAUAGUUAUAUAGAUAUUUUUAGGUAAAGUUUGAUUAUUGCUACAUGACAAAAAGAUGGAGAUAUUUGGGAUAAAAAAGACAAGAUGAUGCAAAAGACGGAGAUAAAACUUUGUUUGAUAGUAAAGUAUAAGACAUGAUAGUUGUCUCUGUAUUUUAUUUAAUUAAAAGUAGACACGACUAAAUAUAUAUAUAUAUAUAUAUAUAUAUAUAUAUAUAUAUAAACUUAACUUGUUUGGAACAAUAAUUAGGGAUUUGUGUUUUCACUUUAUCUUAUAAUGAACAUUAAAAUUCUAUUUGAAGUAAUUUAAGAUAGUAACUUCAAAAUACAAAAAUAUUUGUUUUACCCUUAAUAUAUAUUACCAUGAAACUUAAAAAAUUUGAAACAAAAAUUACAAAUUUUUUUUCACUUUAUUUUAUAUUAAGUAUUAAGAUUUUAUUUAACAUGCAAACAUGAGCACAUAUAAUGGAUCAUCAUAUAAAUAUUUAGUUCCCAUAUUGACUUAGUACUUCUAAUAGGAAAAAUCAUUUAAAUUAAAGGGCAAAAACUUACAAAUUAAAAGAUAGAAAAAAAAAUCAUUUCAAUCUAUAUAUAGAAGGUAGUUGCUCAUGCUAUUUGAAAGAAAAGAAACCUACUAUAUAUAACCAUGAGCCCAAAUGGAAUCAAGAAUUAUGUGCUCGAAUACAAUGGUAUGGUCAGUUUUUUUUUCUCACACAACACAAAUGAUCACAUAACACAUAGCAAAACACCACACCGACUCUAUUUGUGAGAAUGAUGUUUGCGAGGAUCAAUAAUGCGCACAACAAUCCAUGUUUUGUAUAUUUUUUCAUGGUAUCUUGCCUUAUUUUACCAUGUAAAAUUAUUUAUCUAUAUAUUUAAUGUAUUAGAAAUUUAUUUUAACAAUACAUGGUUAAGAGAUACAUUUGAAGUCAAAUUCAAAACGGAAUUUGUUCACUUUUAAGGUUAAGAUUUUGAUGGAAACUAUGCUCUAAUAAAAAUACUUUAACUUGAAAUCCUAACUUGUUUAAAACAAAUUAUAAGUGAAUUAUAAAUUGAUUUUUAUAGAACCCAUAGUUAGCAUGAUUUGCAAACCCAGUAACCUUCAAUUCCAUAUGAAUAGAUUACAAGAUUUUCUUGUAACUGUGGAAAGUUGGAAAAUUAACAUGGUUUUUUUAAAACAAAUUAUAAUUAAAUAUUAGGUUUAUUGAAAAUUAAAAUUCAUUAUUUAUUUUGGUUUUCUUGGUAUGGAGUUAUUAUAUUCUUAGAAAAAAAAUAUGGAAUUGGGUUUAUGCUUAGUUUUACAAUUGUCUACUUUUUCCUAUCAUGUUUUUAAAUAAAAAAUGAUCUAUCAUAUUAUUAAAUAAAAAAUAAAGGGAAAAUUAUUAUUCAUAAGUAACAUGCUUUUUUUCCUUUUAUUUUUCUCUUUCCUUUUUAUUUUUUUUUCAUUUUGGUAUUUUAAUAUUGAGUUUCUUGGGAAUUAUACUUCGUUAUUUAUUUUGAUUUUUUUAUAUGGGGUUAUCAUGAUCUUGAAAAAAUAUUUUGUCAUUAAGUUAGUGCUUAGUUUUAUGAUCAUCUACUUUUUAUAUUAUUUUAUUAAAUAAAAAAUGGAUCUGAAAUAAUAUUAUGAAUUGAGCUUUAUAAUUUAUUUCAAUUUAUUUUUUAUGAGGUUAUCAUGAUCUUAGAAAAACAUACAACAUUGAGUUGGUGCUCGGUUCUUUUAGCAUCUAUUUUUUUAAUCAUAUUAAUAAAUAAAAAAUAAUUAUAGAAAAAACAUAAUUAUUGAGAAUUAGGCUUCAUGAUUUAUUUCUAUUUACUUUUUAUGGGGUUAUUGUGGUCUCAAAAAAAUAUCUCGGUAUUGAGUUCGUGAUCGGUUUUGCAAGCGUCUAUUUUUUUUCAUAUAAUUAAAUAAAAAUACUUUUAAAAAAAGUUAUUAAACUUAAUGGAGUUAAUGACCCAAAUUGCCAGUUUAGUAGGUUAACCUAAGUUGACUCGGGUUGAUCUAAUGUGUUUCUAUCUUAAUAAUCUUUUAAGAAAAGAUGUCAUAUUGAAACUAUUUUUAAAGUUAAACCAUGUUUUUACCAGUCUUCUAAGUUUUUUUUAACGCACCAAGGCGUUUUGGUCUUGCUAAGGCAACUCCCAUUCAAUUUAAUUUGAACUUUAAGCUAAACAAGAAGUAUGGUUGAGAGGUUUCAUGUUUGACUUGCCAAACUGGGUUAUGGUUGAGAGGUUUCAUGUUUGACUUGCCAAACUGGGUUUAUGACACUGUCAAAUAAUUUCUCUUAGUAUGGACAUUAUUUUUUACAUGUAAAAAAAUCUUGGUCCUGCCACAACAUAGCAUUAAGAAUUAUCUAAUUGCGACUAUUCUUGCAGAGUAACACAAAAACUUUAACAAAGAAAUCUUGACCAAGGUAUCAUCAUUUGACAAUUUUUUUAAUUUUUGAGAGAAAACAAAAGAAUUGAUAUAUAUUUUUUAGGUUCUCAAGAGUUGCUAUGAUAUUGAGAAAUGCACAUGUAAAAAGGCCAUUGCAAAUUUAAGAAAAUUUGGCUUAACAUGGCUUAUGAAAACUAUCUUUAACUUUUAAUCAAAGAUAUUUUUUUAUAAAUAACUUAUAAAAUAAAUAAGUUAAAUUUUAAAUUGGAAGAAUUUUUAAUAAAAAUAAUUUAAUUUUUUUAAAGUAUAAGUAAGAAUUCAUAAGUUAAAAUUUUUAACUUGCUUUCAUAACAAAUUUUUAUUUAAAUUAAAAUUCAUUUCUAACUAAAUAUAUUUAUGAUUUUUUUCAUGAAUCAAAAUUUAACAAAACAAAAAAAAGAGGAGGGGAUUUUAGUGUAUAGCUCAUCACAAACACUAUUUACUUGAAUAGUAUUUUCUUUUCCAUUUCUUUGUUUUUUUCCCAUCUAUGUUUUCCUUCUUUCUAUUUUUUCAAAUUUCUUCAAUCGAGUAAUAUUAGAUUUAUUUGGGAUUGAGCUUCAUAUUUUUUUGAAUUUAUUUUUAUGAGGUUAUGUCAGUCUCAUAACCUGAACCACGAGUUUGACUUGGUUUACUUGAGUUUUUCUUCCUUUUCCUGAUUGCUUUUUUUUUUUCAAUUUUAUCCUUGAAUAUUGAGUUGAUUCGGAAUUAGGCUUUUUGAUUUGUUUUAGUUUAAAUUCAAUGAGAUUAUCCUCAUGUCAUGACUCGGGUCACGAGUUUAGUAUGUUAACUUAGAUUGACUCUAGUUAUUAUUUUGUCUUUUUUAAACAGAAUUCUUAAUUUCAAUUUCAUCAUUCAACAUUAGAUUUAUUGGGGACUGAACUUCAUAAUUUCUUUAAAUAUACAUUUCAUGAGGACAUCCCAGUUUCAUGACCCGAAUCGCGAGUUUGACGAGUUAACUCGGUUGACUCAGGUUUUUUCAGUUUUCUAAUUGAUUUUUUUUUCUUGAUUUCAUCCUUCAACAUUGGGUUAAUUGGAAAUUAGGCUUCGUGAUUUGUUUGGUUUAUUUUCUAUGAAGUUAUCCUCAUCUCAUGACUCAGGUUACUUAUUUGACGAGUCAAACCGGGUUAACUUGAGUUUUUUUCUCUAUUUUUUAAUUAUUUUUUUCAAUUUCAUCUUUAAAUAAUAGGUUGAUUAAGAAUUGAACUUCAUAAUUAAAUAUAUUUAUGAUUGUUUUCAUGAAUCAAGAGUUAACAAAAAGAAAAGAGGAGAUUUUACUAUAUGAUCCUCACAAAACACUAUUUACUUGAAUAGUAUUUUCUUUUCCCUUUCUUUGUUUUUUUCCCAUCUAUGUUUUUCUUCUAUUUUUUUUCAAAUUUCAAUUCCAUCCUGUAAUAUUAUAUUUAUUUGGGAUUGAGCUUCAUAUUUUUUUUCAAUUUACUUUUUAUGAGGUUAUAUCAGUCUCAUGACCCGGACCACGAGUUUGACUCGGUUUACUCAAGUUUUUUUUCCUUUUCCUGAUUUGUUUUCUCAAUUUUAUCCUUCAAUAUUGAGUUGAUUCAGAAUUAGGCUUCUUGAUUUGUUUUGGUUUGAAUUCAAUGACAUUAUCUUCGUUUCAUGACUUAGGUCACGAGUUUCGUGGGUUAACUUGGAUUGACUUGAGUUAUUUUUUGUAUCUUUUUUUAAUAUAAUUCUUAAUUUUAAUUUCAUUAUUCAACAUUAUGUUUAUUGGAAACUGAACUUUAUAAUUUCUUUCAAUAUACUUUUAUGAGGUCAUCCCAGUUUCUUAACCCGAACCAUGGGUUUGAUGAGUUAACUUGGUUGACUCAGGUUUUUUCACUUUUCUAAUUGUUUUUUUCUCUCGAUUUCAUUCUUCAACAAUGGGUGAAUUGGGAUUUAGGUUUCGUGAUUUGUUUUUUGUUUUUUAUGAGGUUAUCCUCAUCUCAUGACUUAAGUUACUGGUUUGGUGAGUCAAACCGAGUUUACUAGAUUUUUUAUCCUGUUUUUUAAUCUUCUUUUUUUCAAUUUCUUCUUUAAAUAUUAGGUUGAUUGAGAAUUGAACUUCAUAAUUUGUUUCAAUUUUCUUUCUAUUAGGUUAUCCCGGUCUAAUGAUCUAGGUCACGAGUUUGACAGGUUAACCCGAGUUGAAUGGGUUAUUUUUUUGUUCUAUUUUUAAUAAUUUCAUCAUUCAAUAUUGAGUUUGUUAGAAAUUAGAUUUCAUAAUUUGUUUUGAUUUAUUUUUCACAGGGUUAUCAUGUAUCAUGACUUAGCAUAUGGGUUAGCUGAAUAACCCGACUUGAUCUGAAUCGAUCUAAUAUUUUGUUAUCUCAAUAUUUAUAUAAAAAAAUCUCAUCUUGAAUAUUUAUUAUGAGACAAACCAUAUUUUUACUAAUCAUUUGUAUUGCUUUUGAACUUGUUAAAUCAAUAAAAUCAUAUCAGAUAAAUCCUCAUAUAUUUUAAAAUUAUUUUUUACUACAAAAACACAUUAAUAAUAUCUAAAUAUAUUAAAUAUCUUUUUAUAUUAAAAACAACUUGCAAUAUAACACGCGAGAAAAUAAUCUUAUCAUUAUUGUAUUUUCUUACAUAGGAUGUUGGGUGGCUACAAGUAGAGGGAAGACAAUUAAAAGUAGAGGGAAGACAAUUAAAUGUUAGCUUUUGUCCUGUAUGUUCUUCCCUUGGUAUUAUUUAAAGUUUGGCACAUAGAUUUUUUCCACGCUGAACCAGAGUCGACUUGGACUUGGAUCCUUCUUCUAGAACUUUUUGGACACAAAACUUCAAUGUGAAAUUAAGAAUAGUGGCCAUGAAUGUAUUGGUCGUUUAUUUUUAUCUUUUAAAAGUAUUUAAAAAUAAAAUAAAAUUUUUAUUUAUUUUUCUUUUAUUUCAAAUUAAUAUGUUUUUGAUAUUAUAGUGUAGAGUAAUUUUUAAAAUUUUUUAUUUUAAUUAAAAUUAUAUUGAUUUUUUAUAUUAAAACUAUUUAAAAAUUUUAAAAAUAUUAAUUUAAUAUUUUUUAAAUAAGUGUUAAUGCAAAAGCAAACCAUCACUGUAAUACUCAGAAAAACUGGUCCAUGUUUCACAUCUAAACAAAUAUCUGACUCCUAUUUUCUCUCACCCGUAAACAAUACGAAAGGGAAUUAUAGUGUAGAGUAAUUUUUAAAAGUAUUUUCUCUCACCGUGAACAAUACGGAAGGAAUUAAAGUGCUCCCACUUGCAUAUUUGAAUAUAAGAAUUAUUAAUUUAAGAUUGCAGAAAGAGAUUUAUGUGCCUAUAAUAAUAUGAUUUAGCCAAUGCAUAAUAGACAUGAUAGCCUUUUGAGCUGUGAAAUUGCUCAUAAAAAAUCAUUCUAGAGAUUGUUGUUGAUUUUAAUCAAGAAAAGUGACAAUGGCAGCAUGAUAAUUGUUCUUACCAAACAACAUACAAGUUGCAAGCCAAUCCUGGGCCUCAUGGGGAGUUCUCAAACUAUAAUCCCUCCAAAAAAAAAUUGUUUCCUCACUGUUUUGUUCUUGUUUCUUUCAACUUCAAGUGCCCAGAACGUUUUGCGAAGAGGUUCAUCUCUAUCAGUAGAAGAUGAUUCGGACAUCCUUAUCUCACCAGAUAAAACAUUCUCUUGUGGAUUCUAUGGGAUGGGACAAAAUGCUUAUUGGUUCUCUAUUUGGUUCACCAAUUCCAAGGACAGGACUGUGGUUUGGAUGGCCAACAGAGACAGACCUGCCAAUGGCCGAGGUUCAAGAGUUUCUCUACGACGAGACGGUGCAAUGGUCUUGACAGAUGUUGAUGGCUCCAUCAUAUGGGAGACUAACACCACCUCCACUGAUGUUGGAAGAGCAGAGCUUCUGGACACUGGUAACCUUGUUCUUAAAGACCCUGGUGGUAAGAUUCUAUGGCAAAGCUUUGAUUUUCCUACUGAUACACUUCUUCCAAACCAGUUAUUUACAAAGAGGACAAAGCUGGUUGCUAGAUUGCAUAUCGGGUCUUAUGCCUCUGGAUAUUUUAGUUUCUUUUUUGAUAAUGAUAAUGUGCUGAGGUUGAUAUAUGAUGGUCCUGAUAUUUCAAGCAUAUACUGGCCUAAUCCUGAUUUUGAUGUGUUCGGAAAUGGUAGAACAAAUUAUAAUAGCAGCAGAACUGCAGUUUUUGAUGAAAUGGGCCAUUUUAUAUCUAGUGAUCAGCUCCAGUUCAGCGCUCCUGACACGGGUUUAUUAAGGAUCAAAAGGAGGCUAACAAUGGACCAUGAUGGGAAUCUCAGGCUUUAUAGCCUGAACAAUGAAACCGGAUUGUGGGUGAUAUCAUGGCAAGCUCUUUCUCAGCUUUGUACUGUUCAUGGAAUUUGUGGGAUAAACUCGAUUUGUGUAAA
rnacentral:lncRNA from 1 species